UCCUUAUGCUCUUCUNAUUUCUAGGAUUUUAGAAUAUAAAGGAGUACCUGUUGAAGGAGAACUUGUUCAAACAAUUGAAGCUGUGGGUUCUGAAAUUGGAGAUACUACUUUNNNCCAGAUGGGAUUCAUUACCAGGGGUCGUGUCCUUAUUCACAAAGAUGAUGACCAUCCUNAUGAUGAUGAAGAUGAUGAUAUGGAUACUCANANGGCUGACCCAGUCAAUGCUGCUGCUCCGUCUGAUGCUGGACCCUCUAACAUACCCUCNUCUUCCUCAACUUCUAUGGAAGAACACUUUGCGAGAUUAUCUAAACAGAUAGAGGAUAUGUCUCUAGCCCAGAAAACUCAUUUUGAUGACAUUCAUGAGUGGCAGAAAUCUAUGGAUGAGUAUCUUGUUGAUCAAUUUCUUGAGCUUGAUGUUCGCAUCCAUAACAUUGAGUCUCAUCUUAAAAUUCCACCCACUGAACGUUCUCCUAGUCCUGAAUUCUAGUGUCGUUUUAGGAGUCUAAGUUUUUUAGUUGUUAACUGUAGUUUUUAAGACUUAGUCUUUAUGCAUUUUGAUGCUUUUAUCUUCAUGUACUUUCCUUUAUCUUUAAUAUAAUGAGCUUAUUUUGGACAUUUGAUGCCUUUGUUGAGGGGGAGCUCAUUUUAAGGGGGAGAUUUCUUUUCUUUAUUCUUUUUGUUUCUGAUCAAAAAAGGGGGAGAAGAAAUUUAUUAAGGAGAAUAAACUUGAACAGGUACUGCUAACCUUGUUGCUGUUUUUAGUCUAUAUGUAUUGCAGGAAAAACUGAGUUGCUUUUUAAAAGAAUUUUUGAUCAUCAUCAAAAAGGGGGAGAUUGUUACCAAUAAAGGAGUAUUGGUAAAACCUGAAGACAAGUUUUGAUGAUGCUGCAAAUUGUAAAUUUUUGUUUGUAAUAGGAGAUUAUUUAAAAGCAACUUGUAGUCUCUUGAAUGUAGUAGGAAAAUAAUUAACAUUGUAAUUUCUACUGAUAUAAUCGAUUAUGAACAUGCUACAAUCGAUUAUCAUAUGCUUUUGAACUACAAUANUCGAUUAUCAUAUGCUUUUGAACUACAAUAAUCGAUUAUCAUGAAGCAAUAAUCGAUUAUCACAAGUCUCACUUGAAUAAUCGAUUAUCACUUACAAUAAUCGAUUAUCUCUUUUUGAAUUUUCUAUAACAGACUUGAAUAAUCGAUUAUCACUUACUAUAAUCGAUUAUUCAUGGCAGUUGUGAGCUGACCUUUGGCAUUCAGCGUAUUUGGCUAUUUAAAUGAAUUUUGAAAUCUUCAGAAGUAAUAUUUUUUUAGUAAACUGAGAAAAGCCAUAACACUGAGUAGUCAGAGGAACGUUCUUGAGAAAGCUUUUUUGUUUACUGUGUUCCCUUGCCUGGUCUUGUGGAAGGAGAGACUUACGUAUCGUGUGCUGAUACAAGAAGUGGACUCUCUUCAAGUUGGCAGGGCUCUCUACCUGAUCUUGUGUAAGGAGAAGCACGUGAAUCGUGUGUCGAUUGCCGGUGCAGGUUCUCUUCAAGUUGGUAGAGUCGUUUCUUUCAUUCUAUUCCUGUUUAUUAUCUUGUAAUCUGUUAAACAAAUUUUUAGUGGAACUGUUAAUCACUCUUUGUAGUGAUUAACGACUGGACGUAGAUUCUGUUGAAUUGAACCAGUAUAAAAAUCCCUGUGUGAUUUUCUUUUGCCCUAUACUCAUUUUAUUAUUAACGCACGUUAUCUGCUUGGUAAAUUUUCUGAAAGAAAAUCGUUUAACUUAUAAAGGCAAAAUUGUUUCAACUGUGACUUGUUACGCUGUACGCUCUCUGUAUUUUAAUCCGCUGCGCUAAACUCUUUUAAAAAUUAACCCCUCCGAUACCAACAGCAGGUUGGGUGUGAACGAUGUUGCUAGGACGACAAAGGUGGCGGUGACGCGUGGUGAGUAAGGCCGGCGUUGCCACAGAGUGAAUCGUGUCCCGAUUCGGCAUUUUAGGGUUCCCGAGCUUGUUCUAAAAUUGGGGAUUUGGGGGUUUUGACUUUAGGGUUCCUGAACUUGUUUCUANAAUUGGGAAAUUUGCAANCUGUUCUUGCAAAUUGGGGNUUAGGUUUUCAANUGGGGAUUUUUGAUUCUGUUGUUGCGUCUCUGAUCUUGAAAGUUUUGAAUUCUUUUGAAUAUCUGUUGUUGCAUCUUUGGGGUUUGAUCUAGCGAUCACUCUGCUGUAUUUUGUGAUAUGUUUUUAUGCGUUAUGGUUUCGGUUUGUGGUGACGGUGCUGGUUGCUCACCAGCGGAGCAACCAUGGGUGGAAGUGGUGAGUUGUGUCUGAGGGCCAGGGUGGCAGUCAGUUGGGCCUCGGUUAGGCCUCUAAACCAGCAAUAUUGGGUUUCUAGUCUGGACUUUGGUUAUAACUAACUGGGCCUAUAGGCCCAGACUUGACUUUGAGCGGUUGGAGGUGAUUUUUUUACGGAGACCCAAAAGUAUUAAUAAGAAGGGAAUUUAAGAUAAGUUUUAUGUUUCUACAAUUAAGGUAAUGUAAAAUAUAAUUAAUUAAUUAUUGACAUUAACUGACAAAAAAAAAAUUAAAGUGUAAAGAGACAGAUGAAAACAGUAAUGAUAUUAAUUAUUGUUAUUACCGGUAGAAAUUUAUUAUUUAGUAAUUAAUUGGAAUCAAAUUAAUUACGGGAAAAGAAGAAUUAAUUUGGAAUAAGAAGGAGAGUAAUUUAUUGGAAAUCCGAUUAAUUAAUAUUAAAUAUUGUGGAAUUAGAAAUUAAUUGAGAAUGUAACGAGACUUGAUUAAUUAAAGUAAUGAAUAAUUUAUUUAUUGGGAUUGACAGAGAAUGAUAUUCAUUUGUUUAUUUUAUUUGGAAUAAUGUUUAUUCAUUCGAUUAUUAUUUAUUUAAUUAUUUAUUUAAUUGUAAUUUAUUUUUGGAGUGAAACCUUGAGAAUUUAGUUUGAGUACAUUAGAAUUUUUGAAUGUGAUUGAUUCUUUUCACUAUGGGGUAAUGGUAUUGUGGAGGCUCAUGGUGGGAUUCAUGAUGAAUGAUUCAUGAUAAAGUUAGUUUUGAUGGAGGUACAUGUAAUGUUGAUUCAUGAUGACGACGUUAUGGGAAAUGAUGAUGUGAAGGGUAUAGUCAAAUUAUAGUUAACGAGGAUAUUGAUUAUGUCCUUAGUUUAGAAAUAAUUAUGUGAGUAUGGGUAACAUUGUAGAUGAAUGAUAUUGUUAUUAAGUGCACUUACUUAUCUUGUACAUUUCUUUAUCGUUAUUGGUUGUGUUAUGGUAGCUUACCCAUAUUUGUUUGUGCUUGUGGUUAUGUAUGUCUUGCGAUGAUCGUAUAACUUUUGGUUAUACGGGAGCAGAUGUUGCAAAUGCUUCAGAUUAAUUAAAGUUUUUGUGCUAUAAAUGUUAGAUACAAUGUAAUCGGGUUUAAUUUAUUUGGUUUCUAUUUUAUUAAUUUCGGUAUUUUAUAAGUGGAUUCCUAUAAUAAUAUUAGGAUUUUAAAAAUUUUAAAUUUUCCCUAAUAAUCGAGACAUCCCAAAAAUCGGGAUGUUACAUUGGAUGGGGAUCAAAAGUCAAAUAAAUGGGGACCUACGGUCAAUGUUUUGCAUAGUUCAUGGCAUAAAGUUUUAAGGGCAAAAAUAUUUUUUUACAAAUUAAUGCACAUAGAAGUCAUCUUUACGCAAUGAUGACCAUAUUUAUAACCAACUCUAUCACAAGGUAACCAAGUUUUGCAUAACUCUUGUUGCAAAAUUGGGUGGGGAUCAAAGGUCAAAUAAGUGGGGAUCUAAGGCUAAUGUUUUGCACAAUGAAGUCAACAUAUCUCAUGACAUCAAUUUUUAAGUGGAAAAAUAUUUUUGUACCAAUUAAUGUAGAGAAGUCAUCUUAAGGCAAUGAUAUCCAGAUUUAUAACCAACUUCAUCGCCAAGAAACCAAGUUUUGUAUAACUUGUUGGAAAAUUGGGUAGGGACUAAAGGUUAAAUAAGUGGGGACCUAUGAUGAGUGCAUGUUUAUGCUUGCAUUUAUGCUUUAAAAUUCAAUUUUUUGAUGAGAUUUAUCUGCAUAAGUGAUCGAUUUAAAGUGAAUAUGUAAUGAUUGAAAUUGUUGGGUUUGAGAAUUAAAGAGGCGUAAAAAAUAAGUUUUAGCACAUAAAUUAUUCUUGGAUAUUCUAAUAUUUAUUUGUGCAGUUGAAAUUAGAGCUUUAUUGGUCCAAAUUGCAAUUUGAGGCCCAAAAUCAAGUUUUGUUUGGAAAAUAAUGUGCAUGAGCCAAACAGGCAGUGUUGCACCUCCUAAAUUUCCCUACACCCCUCUUUUUUAAACCAGGCUAGUACUAAAGCCCAACACUAACCCUUUUCUGUCACACCUCCUAAGUCUCUUAUUCCUACCCCUCAUAUAUAAGACUUUACCAGAUUUUACCAUGUGGCAGUCCACCAAUAAUAGAUCCAACCACCCAGAUGAUGCCAAUUCACUCAUCCUACUGCACACCAAAUAGACCAAUUAGAACAUGCCGCCUCACCUCCUCUUGCCAUGUCAUCACCAUCUCCAAAAGAAACCCUAACCCUCCUCCACCAUCUUCUCCCUAGUUGCCGCCAACUCCAUUCUUGUCGGCCACCACGCGCAUACCGUUGAAAGGCCGCCACCACCAAAGUGACCUCAGCCCUCACCGACCACCACGAGAUCGAGCCUCCGUCAUACUCGCAUCAGGAAAGUCUUCUUCUUCUUCCACGCCCAAAAUUCCAUGGAUGUUGAACAAAUGCAGUGCCUCAGCCAUGGUGGCCCGCUCCUCCAUCAACGCAUAUCACCAUCUCCUCAGCACGCUGCCGCCAUCGCGAGACCAGACGCAAGUCGACACGCCACCGUUUAUCAUCUCCAUCCACCGCCACCGGACCUGCAUACCAGAAAUCGCAAACACCGGGCAAACCCAGAAUCGCAUCAGCCUUCAUCGCGAGUUCAUCAUCAUUACCGUGCCGCCAUUGCCUUUUCUCGCUUACGGCCAGUAUCCUUUUCGCACCGCAGCAGCACCACCAUGGAAGCAUCUCCAUUCUCGCGUUCGCCAUGAAACCCCAAUCGCAAAAUGUAAUCUCCUUCCUCGCAUCUUCACAAUCAUCUUCUUCCCAGAUGCGCCACCACUUGCAACCAUAAUCAGACCUGCAGAAACUAGAUUUAACACCAUGUAACCAUCACACAGAGACCCAAUUUGAAGAAUCCUUCGAACCCUAAAUUGCCAUCGCAAAACCCGACUUCGCCACACAGUUCUUCCAUUCAUCUGCUCGCGGGUUUCAUCCUGUUGUAAUUUGAGAUAAUAUCUUUAGAAUCUUCCUAAUUAGCGGAAAUAGAUACAUAAUCUUUUAUUUUAUUUUAUUUUUUCCUAGGUUUCCUAGUUUCCCUAUUUCCCUUUUUAGGAGAACUAGAUUAUUACAAAUAGAAGAUUUGAGAAUGUAUUUUUCAGGAUUGAGAAUAAUAAUAAGUCCCAUUUUCAAGUUGGUGUCAGAGCUCCUGAUCUUAGGAGCUAUAUUCCGCUACAACAAGUCGCACCGCCGCCGCUGUCUGACCGCCACCGUCGUUGCCGUCGUUGCCAGUUGGGGUCGUUGAUAGGGCAGAAAGGUGCGUCCAACACCGAUGAUCACAGAGCCAGAAGUCGCUCCAUGAACGGAGCCUCCACGCGCCGCCACCGUCGCCGGUGCGUGUAGCCCACGUGCCCACCUCUAGUGAGACCCACUUGCCGCUGCCUUCACAGACAGGGUCGUCGGAGCCCCCUGAGUCCAUUCCUAGGGUCGGUGACGACUGGUUUGGGCUAUAUUUGAGCAGAUCUGACUUUUCCGUUUUGCUCGUUCUUUCUCGGUGAAACCCACUCGCCGUCGCUACCACAGAAGAGUCGCCGAAGCCUUUUGAUUUCGUUCCUAGGGUCGGUGACGACCCGUUUGGCCUUUAUUUGAGUAGAUCUGACUUUGAAGUUUUUGCUCUAUUUUUUUUGGGUAUAAGAUGUCUGAAGAAAAAAGUAUUCCUUUGGGUUACCCAAUGACCUACCAAAUAUAGGAAAUACCUCGUGGUUGGAUGGUCAAAAUUACUUAGAAUGGAAUCAAUUUAUUUUAAGGAUUCUCAAGAGUCGUUCAAAACUUGAUCACAUACAUGGAGGAGGACCGGCAGCAGACGACAAACAUUUUUCAAUUUGGGACAAGGAAGAUUCAUUAAUUAUGACUAGGAUGUGGCAAUCCAUGACUCCCGAGAUAACGAAAAAUUAUAUGUUUCAUUCUUCUGCAAAAGAAAUAUGGGAUGAUUUACAUAGUACUUUUUCUUUAAAAAAGGAUCUUGCUGCUACCUAUAAAUCAAGAACAAGAUAUUUAAUACAAAACAGAGCUCUCUUUCCGUAUCUAAAUAUCACGGGAUCCUGAAUGGUCUUUGGAUGGAACUCGAUCAGAUCCAAACAAUAAAGAUGUGUAAAAUAGAUGUUGUCGCUCUUGCUGAAUUCAUUGAAGGGGAAAAAAUCUUUAAAUUUCUCCAAGGCCUUAAUUAUGAGUACGACCCAAUCCGAGUUCAAAUUUUUGGAAGAGAAAAAUUACCACCCCUGUCAGAAGUUUUUUUUUAUGGUAAGAGAAGAAGAAACUCGGAGAUCUGUCAUGCUUCAUGGAGGGAUCUCUAACACAGGCUCUGCCAUGACAAUUGGAAAGGGAGUCCACAAGGAAACAAAUGGUGGGGGAAAAACAUUUGAAAGAGGUACUCAUGGGGACUAUUGUUCAUACUGUAAAAUAUCUGGACAUACCAAGGAAAUAUGCUUCAAACUCCAUGGAAGAAAGAAUGUUCUUGAGCGCAUGGAAAACAACAAAGGGCCUACUCAUAAAUGGGUAAAUCAUACUACUUUAGAACAGGAAGCCACCAAUCAAUCUAGUCCUUCCCAGUCUAAUCGACCACCACCACCAGAUCUUGAUAUGAAAUCUUAUAAGGAGAAACUCGAGCGCUUGGAAGCAAUGAUUAAAUCAAUGAGUAAGCCCUCUGGAUCAUGUACUCUGUCCAUAAAAGGUAAGAUUUGUCUCAAUAUUGUUGGUCAUGUGUCUCAAGGUAUUUGGAUCAUUGAUUCGGGUGCAACUGAUCAUAUGACACCUUUUAGUGGGUAUUUUGACUCAUAUGGCAAGAGCAAUGAAGAACAACUUAUUACAGUUGCAAAUGGUCAAGGUAUACCUGUAUGCGGCUCUGGGAAUAUAUUUUUGGACUCCUCUAUCAUAUUGAAGGAUGUUUUACAUGUUCCUCAAUUAACUAAUAGUCUUAUCUCUGUGCAAAAACUCACAAAGGAUUUAAAUUGUUCAGUAAUAUUUUUUCCAACUUAUUGUGUUUUGCAGGACCUUGCCACGGGGAAGACGAUUUUAACUUCUAAUGAGCAAAGUGGGUUGUAUUUUUUAGAGUUUGAUGACCAAAGCAACACACAAAUCAUGAGUCAACAAGCUACAUCUGAGAUGUGGGCAAAAUCUCAAAUAUGGCUACAUCAUCAAAGGCUUGGGCAUCCGUCAUUUAGUCUUAUCAAGUCCUUGUUUCCCCAUUUGUUUACCAAGGAGUCUGUUUAGUUUUUUAAUUGUGAUAUUUGUCAAUUGUCAAAACACCAUUGUGCAUCAUAUCCUAUUAGUAAUAAAAAGAGUAUUUCUCCAUUUGAUUUAAUUCACUCUGAUGUUUGGGGUCCUGUCAUAGAUUUUGUUUCCGGAGCCAAAUGGUUUGUUACCUUUAUUGACGAUUGUACCCGUGUCACGUGGACAUACCUUAUGAAAAAUAAAUCUGAAGUUUUUCAAAUUUUUGUUAAUUUUUUCAGUCUUGUCCAAACUCAAUUUGGAAAAAAUAUCAAAAGAAUUCGGUCUAAUAAUGGUACUGAAUAUGUGAAUCAUUAAUUUCUCAAUUUUUUGUGUUAACACCCCUCAACAAAAUGGGGCUGCUGAAAGAAAUAAUCGUCAUCUUCUUGAGGUAACUAGAGCUCUUCUUUUUCAAAUGUCUGUUCCCAAAAAUUACUGGGGAGAAGCUGUGUUAACUGCCACAUAUCUCAUCAACACGUUACCCACUCGUAUCUUAAAUGGCAUUAGUCCUAUAAAGUCUCUAUUGGCUUUUGUUCCUUCUUCUUCCCUAACAACGAGUCUACCUAGUCGAGUCUUUGGAUGUGUUGUUUUUGUUCACUCUCAUCCUCUGAACCAUGGUAAAUUAGAUCGUAGAGCUCUUAAAUGUGUCUUUAUUGGGUAUCCUUCUAAUAAAAAAGGGUACAAAUGUUAUCAUCCUCAAAGUCGUCGCGUCUUUAUCACCAUGGAUGUCACCUUUCAUGAAACAAAAUCCUUUUAUGUCAGUCCACCACUUUAGGGGGAGAAAGCACUUGAAGUGGAUGAAUUCUCUUUCUUGUCAUUACCAUGUUUGUCUUUGCAGGAUGCCCAAGACCUGAGCAAUGAAGCUAUCAUAGUCCACAGUGAGGAAAAAGAGGAAGCAAAUUUUUUGGCAAGAAAUAUGAAAGAAGAGAACAACCCACUUCGACUCUAGAGCAAGAAAAAUUGUCUGAUCUGAAGAUGAGGAUCCUUGAAGAUAUCAAUGACGAGGAGGUAAGUAUUACUGAGGAUUUACCCAUUGCAUUGAGAAAGGGAAGAAGAUCAUGUGUUAAAUAUCCUAUUUCUCAGUAUGUUUGCACUAACAAUCUCUCUGAUAAGAACAAAAGUUUUAUUGCUUCCAUUGAUGCCACAAAAUUUCCUACCUCAAUCCAAGAGGCCAUGAAACUUGAACAUUGGAAUCAAGCCAUGAAAUAAGAGAUGAAUGCAUUAGAAAGAAAUUCAAAUUGGGAGAUUGUUGAUAAGCAAAGAGACAAGAAGGCAAUAGGGUGUAGAUGGAUAUUCACAGUGAAACAUAAGGCAGAUGGGACAAUAGAAAGAUAUAAAGCUAGAUUGGUGGCAAAAGGAUAUACCCAAACAUAUGGGAUUGAUUAUGAGGAGACAUUUGCCCCAGUGGCAAAGAUGAAUACAGUUCGAGUUAUUCUCGCUUUGGCUGCCCAUUUUGGAUGGGACUUACACCAGUUGGAUGUAAAGAAUGCCUUUCUUCAUGGAAAUCUAGAUGAGGAAGUGUACAUGGAGAUUCCCCCAGGUUUUGAAGUGAAAAAUGAAAGGAACAAGGUAUGUCUCCUGAAGAAAGCAUUGUAUGGUCUUAAGCAAUCUCCUAGAGCAUGGUUUGGAAGAUUUACAAAAGCAAUGGUUUCCUUCGGAUACAAACAAAGCCAAUGAGUUCAUGCUCUAUUCAUAAAGCACUCUUCUACAGGUAAACUCACUCUAUUGCUUGCCUAUGUGGAUGAUAUGAUUAUUGCAGGAGAUGAUGAAAUAGAAAAAUUGGCAUUAAAAGAAAAAUUGGCAGCUUAAUUUGAAAUGAAAGACCUAGGAAAACUCAAAUAUUUUCUUGGAAUAGAGGUUGCCUACUCUAAGAAUGGAAUUUUCAUCUCCCAAAGGAAAUAUGUACUUGAUCUCCUCAAAGAAACAGGAAAGUUGGGAUGUAGAACCUCAACUGUUCCUAUAAAAUAGAAUCACAGAAUUGGAAGUGAAGAAAGUGCUCCUGUAGAGAAGGCCCAAUAUCAGAGAUUGGUGGGAAAUUUGAUUUAUCUAUCACACACAAGACCAGACAUUGCUUAUGCAGUCAGUGUAGUGAGCUAAUUUAUGCAUGAUCCAAGAGAGAGACACAUGCAAGCAGUUGACAAAAUUCUCCAAUACUUGAAGUCAAGUCCAGGAAAGGGGCUAUUAUUCAAAAGGGAAGGCACAUUGAAUAUGAAUAUAUAUAUAUACUGAUGCUGACUAUGCAGGUUCUAUUACUGACAGAAAAUCUACUUCUGGGUAUUGUGUAUUUGUUGGAGAUAGUUUGGUAACUUGGAGAAGAAAAAACCAAGAUAGAGUAUCCCAUUCUAGUGGAAAAGCUGAAUUUUGAGCCCUUGCUCAAGGAAUGUGUGAAAGACCCUGGAUGAAAAUCAUCUUGGAUGACCUUAAAGUCAAAGUGGAGCACCCGGUGCAACUACACUGUGAUAAUAAGUCUGCUGUGAGCAUAACCCAUAAUCCAGUACAGCAUGACAGAACCAAACACAUUGAAAUUGACAGACAUUUCAUCAAAGAUAAUCUUGACAGAGGCUUUGUGAUUACAACUCAUGUUCCUACAGAACUUCAAAUAGCAGAUACUUUUACAAAAGGGCUUUCUUCGGGUAGAUUUCAAGAUCUUGUAGGCAAGAUGAGAAUGAUUGAUAUUCAUUUACCAACUUGAGGGGGAGUGUUGUAAUUUGAGAUAAUAUCUUUAGAAUCUUCCUAAUUAGAGGAAAUAGAUACAUAAUCUUUUAUUUUAUUUUAUUUUUUCUUAAGUUUCCUAGUUUCCCUUUUUAAGAGAACUAGAUUAUUACAAAUAGAAGGUUUGAGAAUGAAUUUUUCAAGAUUGAGAAUAAUAAUAAGUCUCAUUUUCAACUCAUCCAAUUUGGGCUAUCAUCAGCAUCUUUAUCCCCUAAAGCAGAAUCACAAGGCAACCUCCAUGGCAAUUCGAGAGUCACCAUGACGAAACCAGUGGCUUUGGAUGAAGGGCGAGACCCAGUUUCAAAACCCCAAUUUCCUAAUCUGAAACCCUAAUUUAGGUGGGGAAGGAUAUGCCACGUGUCAGGCUCUCGUUGGACGUUCCUUUCUGGUCAAAACCUAGUUAAACAAUCUAAAUCUGGUCAAAUGAGGGGCUUUUCUACAAUUUCAGAAAUUCAAAAGGGGCUGAAGUGUAAAUAUUGAAAUUAUAAGGGGUUGUUCCAUAAUUUUGGAAAAUUCAGAAAGGCUAGAAAAUAAAACUCAGUUGUUGAAUUAAUUUAAUUUGGGAAAAUCAACAGAAAAUAUCCUCUAAAUAAUAUUGUACUAAUUUUAAUCUUUUAGUUACUUGGAAAAUACAAGAUAAAAAUUUUUGGCAACAGACUAUUUAGAGUCCAAGUCCAAUGAAAUCCUAUAUAAAGAGACCCAGGAGAGGUAGAAAAUGGGACUUUAUUCAUUCAUUCACCACUCCUCUCUCUCUCUCUCUUAUUUCAUCAUGUAUUCAACUCCAUUAUGGAGAGCUAAGCUUCUACGGUUAUUCUGUUGUAAUUUCAUUAUGGAUCAUGAGGUUAAGUGAAUUAAUGCAAUUGUUCAUUUUGAUUAUUGAUUUAAGUUGUUCUCCUUCUAUGUUUUUCAUCUCUCUAUCAUAUUAAAAGCAACGAUUUUUGUAUCAUAAUGUGUUUGAAUCUACAUGCAUAUUAAUUAUAUGAGUUUUAGGGUUUCUAGGUUUAAUUGAGAAUCUACUUUGAUUUAAUUUAGGAACUUUUAUAUAAUUAAAUUAGUUUUUACUAUCAAUUGAGAAUGUACUUUGGUUGGUAGUAAUAAUUUCAACUAUAAUCAAUUGAGAAUUUANUUUGAUUGAUUAACUUUUAAUUUGGUUAGGAGAUUUAAGAAUAUAUAUGAUUAAACACAAUAGAAUUUGAUUGAAAAUGUAUUUUGGUUGAAUUUAUUGUGAAUAAUCUAGAAAGGUCUUGCAUUUGAUCGAGAAUGUACUUUGAUUAACUGCACGAUCGCCCUCAAAUUAAUUAAGAAUGUACUUUAAUUAAUUUGAAACUUAAACAAUAAUCAAUUGAACAAUGNUCUGUGAAUAAUUGAUGAUGAAUCUAUUUGAGAAGAGUAGUGGAAUUGGUCUAUUUAUUCAUAAGCAUUGCAUACCAUUCAUAAGAAUCAGAUAUUCUAAAGCAAUUCUGUGUUCGUAGGGAGACGACUCAAGGUUACUUUAGCCCUAUCUACUUUCUUGAAUACUACUUGGCAAUACUGAAGUUGCAUUGAAAAGUAGCAUUAAUUUGAUAGCUUCAAUGACAGCGUAUCAACCUACUACUAAUGUUUUGCAUAACGAGGUCAAUACAACUCAUGAAUUAUUUGGUCGAAUAAGUUGUUUGAACCCUAGUUUGGUCGAAAAGUUUCAAAUUUGUAACCACUUAGCAUUUAUUUCAAUUGAGUCUUAAUUUUAAUUUUUUGUUUCAAUUAAGUCCCAAUUUUGAUUUUUUUAUUUCAAUUGAUUCAUAUAUUUUGAAAUAUUGACUUAGUUAGGUCAUUUUGUAAUUUUUUUUUACAAAUGAUAGGUCAAUUAAAUUCAAUGUUACAUCGUAAUUCCUCUCCACAUCAUAGAUAAUCUCCACCUUUUUGUACAUGUCUAUCAAUGAUGUCUUAACUCAUCCUAGUUGACGUCUGACUAUGCUAGAUGAACUAAGUGUUCUAUAGAAUAGUGGAACUUGGGAGCUCAUCCCAUUACCGUAUGAGAAAUUUGUUGUUGGUUGCGGUGGACUUUUUUUGUUAAGAUAAGAUCGUCUAAUCAAAUCUUAUUUUGAAGUUUAACAAAAACGUUUAAAGAAAUAACAUUUAACGAAAUAACGUUUAACAAAAUAACGUUUAUCAAAUAAAUCAUCUAGGAUUAAUUCACUAAACAUUGUAUGCAUAUACGAUAUCCUAAACAUUGAACGUUACUCAAACAGACUAUGCCUAAAUGUUUAUACAUGUAUAAUUCCUAAACGCUUAAGAAAAGUCUAAUACUUUUAAUGCAUGUACAAAAUAGUUCUCCAUUGUUUGUUGUGUUGUGCUAUCUUUUUCUAUGUAGAUCUAAUCAGUACAAAAUCUUAUUCAAAAGUUUUGCAUUGGAACAAAUUUUAGGAAUCUUUCCUUUAUGACUUCUGUUUGUCUCUUCCGUACAAGAUGAUGGUACCAGCGGGGUAUGGUUUGAAGAGUAUAGCGCAGCGAAAUUAAACUUAGAAUAAGCGGAAAGCGUGUUUGGUCACCUUUUUAAAACAAGUUGGUCCUUUUAUGAAAAUCAAUUUUCUUUCAGAAAAUUUAUCAAACAGUUGAUAUGUGUAAAAAGUAAAUAGUGUAGGGAAUAGAAAAUCACACAAGUAUUUUUAUACUGGUUCGAUUCAACAAAAUGUACGUCCAAUCGUUAAUCACUGUAAAGAGUGAUCAACAAUUCCACUAAAAAUAUUUCACAGAUUACAAUAGACAGUGAAUAAGAACUGAUAAAAAUAAACCUUCCUUCGUCGAACGAACCGGAAGAAUAAGACUCAGCCAACUCGAAGAGAACCGCUCCGGCAAUCGACCAAUGAUUCGCGAGCUUCUCCUAUUCACGAGACCAGGUAGAGCACCUUGCUAACUCGAAGAGACCUUGCUCCGACUAUCGACACACGAAACGCGAGCCUCUCCCAUUCACGAGACCAAGCAAGGGAACUUUGAACAAGCUUCUGAGAACUUCCUCUUACAAACAGUAUUCUACUGAGCUUUCAGUUCAAGAACGUUGCUUUCAAAUUUCUCAUAAUCCCUACAUAUAGCCAUCUACUCUGAAUAUCAAAGGUCAAGUCCCAACUGCCACAAAUAAUAGAUUAUUGUAAGUGAUAAUCGAUUAUUUAAGUCCGUUAUAGGUUUUUCAAAAUGUAAUAAUCGAUUAUAUGAAAUAAUAAUCGAUUAUUUCUUAAGGACUCGUGAUAAUCGAUUAUUGCUUGACCAUAAUUGAUUAUUCCAGUAGAAAAUACAAGUGAUAAUCGAUUAUUGCUUGUCCAUAAUCGAUUAUUCCAGUAGAAAUACAAGGUUUUCAAUUUAUUUAAGACUUUCCUACUACAUUCAAUUUCUUCAAAUUGCUUUUAAAUAAUUCUAAUGUUCUCUUCAAAUAAAACUUCUUGCAGCAUCAUUAAAACAAUUUUCUUCAAGAUUUACCAAUACUCCUUAUUAGUAACAAUCUUCGCCUUUUUGAUGAUGAUCAAAAAUUCAAUUUUGAAAAGAAACUUUGGCUUUCCUGCAAAAAGAUACAAGCUAACAGACAACAAAGUUUAGCAAUACCUGUAUCAAUUAUCAAUUUGUAUUAUACUUCUCCCCUUAUAGUUUUCUUCUCCCCCUUUUUGAUCAUAAGCAAAAAGAGUAACAAUAUAAAAAUAUCCCCCUUAAUAUGAGCUCCCCCUCAAUUUUAUAAUGUAUGCAUAAAAUUAACAUAAAAGAUCAUUUUAUUUAACAGAGAAGGAUUACAUAAACUUCAUAAAGAUCAUCACAAAAGAGAUAAUUAAACAUGGAGAAAAUAACACAACAAACAAUCAACUUAGUAGCCUAUUUCUAAAAUUCAGGACAAGGGGAUCUUUCAGGAGGUUGGAUAUCGAGAUGACUCUCGAUGUUAGAUAGGCGAACAUCAAGAUCAAGAAAUUGAUCAACCAUGUACUCAUCAAUAGAUUGCUGCCACUCAUAGAUUUCUUCAAAGUGUGUCCUUUGUGCUAGACUCAUAUCCUCCAAUUGUUUAGAUAACCUNGCAAAGUGUUCUUCCAUAGAAGUUGAGGAAGAGGAGGGUAUGUUGGAUGGUCCCGCAUCAGAAGGAGCAGCAUUAUUUACGGGGUCAGCCAUAUGUGUAUCGAUGUCAUCAUUUUCAUCUUCAUCAGGAUGGUCAUCAUAUUUGUAGAUAAGAACUCUUCCUCUAGUAAUGAAUCCCAUCUGACGAAAGGUAGUAUCUCCAAUUUCCGAACCCACAACUUGAAUGGCUUGGACAAGGUCUCCUUUAACAUUUACACCUUUGUACUCCAAAAUCCUAGAAAUAAGAAGAGAAUAGGGAAAUUGAUAGGAACGGGAUUUCUUUGCUUUUACCAUUGUGUUAGCAAUGAGAGUAGGCCAAUCGAUGUGUAUGUGAUUUAGAAUCCCAUACAGAAGGAGUAGAUCCUGCUCAGAGCAUUGAGCAUGGUUGGUUGCUCUGGGACAUAGAAUCCAGACAAUCAAGUAGUGAAUUAUCCUUUCUUCAACUUGGAAACCACCAACAAGCAAUUGCCUUCGGUUGGUCUGUUGUUCAGGAGGACGCAGGAAGGAUUGGAAAGUCAUCAACCUGUUGAAAUCAUGAAGUCCUAAAUGAACUUUGACAUCAUCAUCCUAGAUGGGAAGUUGGGCAACAUUGGUUCACACAUCAUCAUUUAAAAUUAUGCGUACGCCCUUUACCUUAGUGGAUAUGAUCCCAUCUCGAUAUCUCAAGUUGAAGUAGAAAACUCUUAUGAGAUCAGGAUAAAUGCAACCAUUUUGCUCUACCAGAUGCGUGAGUCCUUGANCAACAAAAAGAUCUGNAAAUUGAAAUCCAUANAAANGGAAAAAGUCAAGGCGAAUAUACUUUACCGCCAUGAUUCUCCUUUCUUGCCAAGAAUUCACAUAGUCCGCAUGUUUUCCUUGAUCUGAUAUCCACCCAUCAAUGAUGGCAGGACGUGGUUGAGAGGAGGAGGAUGCUCCAGUAGCUCUGCGGCGAUGUCUUCUUGAAUCAGCAAUGGAGGAAGUUUAAGAAAAUGAGAUUUUGAGAAGGUGAAGAGAAAUGAAGAGGAUUUUAGCUCUAGAUUUGAUUUCAGCAGUAUUUGGGUGCAAAGAAGUGUCUAAUAAUCGAUUAUGGGGGGGCUAUUUAUAAGAAAAAUGGAAAAACUAGCCGUUUAUAGCCGUUAUGGGACGCUCCAACGGCUCUAUUUUUGAAACUGUCAACGUGAUAAUCGAUUAUGGCUCGAGAAAAUCGAUUAUCUGCUCAGUAAUUGCUGCCCAAAAAUUGCAUGAUAAUCGAUUAUGCCUGUGGAUAAUCGAUUAUCUGUUCAAAAUUUUCCAGAUUUGAGAUUUGAGAAUGAAUAAUCAAUUAUUGCCUUGUGAUAAUCGAUUAUGAAGCGUAAAUUUUACGAAAAUGUAAAAAUUUUCAUAAUCUUUUAAUCCUGAGACAUAUCUAAUACUCCGAAUUCUCUUCUAAGCUCAAAAAAUCUUUCCUUAGGUAGUGCCUUGGUGAAAAUAUUAGCUAAUUGAUGCAAAGUAUCAACAUAUUCAAUUUGACAAUCCCCCUUUUGAAUAUGAUCUCUUAAGAAAUGAUGUCUAAUUUCAAUGUGCUUAGUUCUUGAAUGCAUUAUGGGGUUCUUGGUCAGAUUUAUAGAACUAGUAUUAUCACAUUUUAAAGGAAUAUUAUCAAGGAAGAUAUCAAAGUCUUCCAGUUAUUGUUUCAUCCACAAAAUUUGGGCACACCAAUUGCCAGCUGCAAUAUAUUCAACUUCAGUGGUAGACAAAGCUACACAUGCUUGUUUCUUUGAGUGCCAGGACACUAAAGAACAACCCAGAAAAUGACAGGUUCCACUAGUACUUUUUCUAUCAAUUUUACAACCACCAUAAUCUGCAUCAGAGUAACCUAUUAAACUGGGUGAAGCAUCAGAGGGAUACCAAAGUCCAAAAGAAGUGGUUCCCUUAAGAUAUUUAAAGAUUCUCUUAACAGCAGUCAAAUGAGAUUCUUUAGGAUUUGCUUGGUACCUAGCACACACACAUACACACUACAUAAUAUCUGGUCUACUAGCAGUUAAGUACAACAAAUAUCUUAUCAUGCCUCUAAACAUAGUUUCGUUCACUCCUUUUCCAGUUUCAUCCUUAUCUGUAUAGCAUGAAGUACACAUAAGUGUACUGGCUUCUUUGCAGGUAUCCAUACUAAAUUUCAUUAGAGACGCAUAUGCAAGUAAUAAUCUAAUUGCUCCUAACCUGGCUACUGGUGCAUAUGUUUCAUCAUAGUCUAUACCUUCCUCUUGAUAGUAGCCCUUUGCAACUAGCCUUGCUUUAUUCUUAGUGAUGUUUCCAUCCUCAUCAAGCUUGUUCCUGAAUACCCAUUUCAUUCCUAUGACUUGAUAAUCAUCUUGUUCUAGAAUAAGUUCUCAAACUUCAUUUCUUUCAAAUUGGUUUAGUUCUUCUUGCAUAGCAACGCACCACUUCUCAUCUUGAAGAGCUUCCUUUAUGUUCUUGGGUUCUAUCUAAGACACAAAAGCUACAGUUAGACAAAAAUUAUUAAGAUUGUUUCUAAUAGUUACCCCUUUUGAUAUAUCUCCUAUGAUGUUGUCCAAACAUAGUCUUCUUGGUUGUUGAUAGCUUUUAGAAUCAAUAGCUUGGGGUGUUUCUUGAAGUUCCGGAGGAUAGUUCUCAUUUAGGUGCAUCUCUUCAAGAGCUUACCUUAAAUAAUCCUCAUCACCUGCAAUAGGUAUAUUUGACUCAAGAGGGUUUACCUCAAGGUCCACAAUCUCAUCAAAGACAACAUGCAUUGAUUCUUCAAUUAUUAAAGUUCUUCUAUUGAAUACUUUAUAUGCUUUGCUAGUCAAAGAGUAUCCUAGGAAAAUUGCUUCAUCAGAUUUUGCAUCAAAUUUACCAAGAUUAUCUUUUCCAUUAUUUAAGACAAAGCAUUUGCAUCCAAAAAUUUUCAAAUGAGAUACAUUUGGUUUUCUACCAUUCAAUAGUUCAUAUGGAGUUAUUUUCAAAAUUGGCCUAAUAAGCAUCUUGUUUAACACAUAACAAGCAGUACUUAUUGCACCAGCCCAAAAAUAUUUUGGCACAUUAGAUUCAUUCAUAAGAGUUCUAGCCAAUUCUUCUAAUGAUCUAUUUUUCCUUUCAACAACACCAUUCUGUUGGGGAGUUCUAGGAGCUGAAAAGUUAUGUGCAAUGUCAUAUUCUUCACAAAAUUUUUCAAAAGAUUCAUUUUCAAAUUCACCACUGUGAUCACUUCUCAAAGUUUUGAUUUUUAAAUCUUUCUCAUUUUGAAUAUGUUUAGCAAAAUAUUUAAAAGCUUUAAAAGCUUCACUUUUCAAAGUUAAAAAGAACAUCCAAGUAAAUCUAGAAUAAUCAUCAACAAUUACAAGAGCAUUGUAAUUUCCACCAAAACUUUUAAUUCUAGAUGGACCAAACAAGUCCAUAUGCAAAAGUUCUAAAGGUUUUGAUGUUGAAAUCAUGCUUUUAGAUGAAAAUGAAGAUUUGGUUUGUUUACCUUUUUGACAUGCAGAGCAUAUUGUCUUUCUCAAAUUUCAGUUAAGGCAAACCAAUCACAAGAUCUUUAGAAAUUAAUUUAUUCAAAUGUUGCAUGUGAAUAUGUGCNGCUCUUUUAUGNCNUAGCCAAGGAUUUUCUUCUUUAGCAACUAAGCAUGUUAUACUAUGACUAGAUGCACUUUCAAUAUCAAUCAAAUAUGUGUUGUUGUGCCUAACACCUUGCAAAGCAAUAUCAGUAGAAUUUUUAAAAUAAACAGUGCAUUUAUCACUUUCAAAUGUUACCUUGAAACCUUUGUCACAUAAUUGACUUAUGCUUAGGAGGUUAUGCUUGAGUCCUUCAACAUAAAGGACAUCUCUUAUAGUCAAUGUGUUUCCUCCUCCAAUGUCUCUGGUUCCCAUGAUUCUACCUUUGUUGUUAUCCCCAUAAGUCACAAAUCCUUGCUUCUUCUUCUCAAAAGAGAUUAACCUUUUCUUGUCACCAGUCAUGUGUCUUGAGCAUCCACUGUCAAGAUACCACAAUGACUUCUUUGAUUUAGUUGGUUCCUACAAAACAAAUUAGCAAGAAUUUUAGGUCCUCAAUCUCAAUAUGGGUCCUUGGGGUUAGUUUAUGAAAGUAUAUAUCAUUUCACAACUUUAACCCAUGCAUAUUUACCAUUUGGAACACCAAAAUGUUUAAUGUUAAAUCUGUUUGAUGUGUGUCCAUGCUUCAUACAGUAAAAACAAUGCACAUCACUCACUUUAUUUUUAACAAAAGUCCCUUUUUCAACCCAAACUCUACGAGUUUUUCUUACUUUGGACUUAUCAUUUUGAUGCAUGUUCCUAUUUUUAACAUUGCUUUUAUUAAAAUUUGUCUUAGCAUAUGAAAUAUUUUUGGUUGCCUUUGCAAGUAAAUUUUCAAGUAUGUCAAUAUCAAACAUAUGACUCUUACAAGACAAACAUUCAACAGGUUCACAAGUAGCAUUGGCAUCAAACAAUUUUGUUUCUAAAGUACUAAUUUUAUUUCUCAAAACAACUUCAUCAUCAAGCAAUUUAUCAUAUUUCAAUUUCAAUUCAUUAUGCUCUUUUUUUAGCUUUUUAUGUGCAGCAUCAAGUUUUUCAGAUUCAUUCAUCAAAUCAAAGAAAGCCUUUUGUAAAUCUAAUUCACUAGAUUCAAAGCUGGAGUCACUUACUUGGCUUCCAGUAUCUUCUGAAUCCGCCAUUAGACAAAUGUUAGCUUCUUCAUCUGAAUCACUUGAGCUUGUUGAGCUAGAGGCAUUGUCUUCCCAAGCUAUGUAAGCUUUCUUUUUCUUUUGAAAUUUUCUUUCCUUCUUGUCUUCACUUUUCUUGUUCUUUGGACACUCAGUUUUCAUGUGUCCUCUUUCUCCACAUCCAUAGCAUUUUACACUAGAAGGAGAUUCUUCACUUUCUCUCCUUUCUUUACGAAUUUUUGUCAUUUCCUCUUAGAACUCUUUCCUAUAGACAUCUCGGUCUUGAAGGCUAGUGUCUUUCUCUUGUCUUGAUCCUCUUCAGCAGUUAGUCUCCUCAAAUCAAGCUCAUGCUCACGGAGCUUUCCAAACAGAAUUGGCAUCGACAUCUGAGUGAGGUUCUGAGACUCCGAGAUGGCAGUCAACUUUGGUUGCCAAGACCUGUCUAAUGAUUUUAAAAUUUUCACAUUUAAUUCAUCAGUAUCAAAAGUCUUACCCAACCCUGUUAAGUGGUUCACAAUGUGAGUGAAACGCUUUUGAACAUUAGAAAUUGUUUCUCCAGGUUGCAUUCUGAACAUCUCAUAUUCCUGAAUGAGAGUGUUCUUUCUUGCGUGUUUCACAUCCUCUGUUCCUUCAUGUGUGACUCUAAGGAUUUCCCACAUUUCCUGUGCUGUCUUACACACUAAAAUUCUAUAGAAUUCAUCAAGUACAACAACAGAUGAAAUAAUAUUGCGAGCUUUAAUAUCAAACUGAGCUCGUCUAUUUUCUUCAGCGGUCCAAUUAAAAUAUGGUUUCUCUACCUCUACACCAUCAAUUGUGCUCUUAGGAAUAUAAGGACCAUUUUGUACAGCUUCCCAGAUGCCUCUGCCAACAGACCCCAUAAAAAUUUCCAUUCUGACUUUCCAGAAGGCAUAGUUAUCACCAGUAAAAAGUGGUGAUCUGUUAAUAGAAGCACCCUCGACAUAUACAAGGUUUUGGUUGUGACCGGCCAUUUUUGCAAACUUUUAAAAACUAUCAAAGCAAGCUCUGAUACCAAUUAAUGGUACCAGCGGGGUAUGGUUUGAAGAGUAUAAUGCAUCGAAAUUAAACUUAGAGUAAGCGGAAAGCGUGUUCGGUUAGCUUUUUAAAACAAGUUGGUCCUUUUAUGAAAAGCAAUUUUCUUUCAGAAAAUUUAUCAAACAGUUGAUAUGCGUAAACAGUAAAUAGUGUAGGGAACAGAAAAUCAUACAAGUAUUUUUAUACUGGUUCGAUUCAAUAGAAUCUACGUCCAGUCGUUAAUCACUGUAAAAAGUGAUUAACAGUUCCACUUAAAAUAUUUCACAGAUUACAAUAGACAAUGAAUAAGAACUGAUAAAAAUAAACCUUCCUUCGUCGAACGAACCGGAAGAAUAACACUCAGCCAACUCGAAGAGAACCACUCCGACAAUUGACCAACGAUUCGCGAGCUUCUCCUAUUCACGAGACCAGGCAGAGCACCUUGUUAACUCGAAGAGAGCUUGCUCCUACUAUCGACACACGAAACGCGAGCCUCUCCUAUUCACGAGACCAAGCAAGGAAACUUUGAACAAGCUUCUGAGAACUUCCUCUGACAAACAGUAUUCUACUGAGCUUUCAGUUCAAGAACGUUGCUUUCGAAUUUCUCAGAAUCCCUACAUAUAGCCAUCUGCUCUGAAUAUCAAAGGUCAAGUCCCAACUGCCACAAAUAAUCGAUUAUUGUAAGUGAUAAUCGAUUAUUUAAGUCCGUUAUAGGUCUUUCAAAAUGUAAUAAUCGAUUAUUUCUUAAGGACUUGUGAUAAUCGAUUAUUGCUUGACCAUAAUCGAUUAUUCUAGUAGAAAAUACAAGUGAUAAUCGAUUAUUGUUUGUCCAUAAUCGAUUAUUCCAGUAGAAAUACAAAGUUUAUAAUUUAUUUAAGACUUUCCCACUACAUUCAAUUUCUACAAAUUGCUUUUAAAUAAUUCUAAUGUUCUCUUCAAAUAAAACUUCUUGCAGCAUCAUCAAAACAAUUUUCUUCAAGAUUUACCAAUACUCCUUAUUGGUAACACAAGAAGCACAAUUGCCCUUACAAGAUGCAACAUAACAUCGGACCUCAUACCAAGAUGCUACAUCCCUAUAUGAAAGUGUUGUGAAAUAAUAAUUUAUUACAAAAGAAACGUUGGAUUUGAACAUGGACAACAUUGUGCAAACGAUUAGUGUUUACUAUUCAUUAUUGUGGGCAAAACGUUCUUUGGUUCAACGUCCAAUUACUUAUUUAUUUAUUUAUUAUUCAUUAUUGUGGCAACUGUCUUUGACCAAGUUUCUCACUUAAGGGAUUGCCUCAUGUUCAAAAACCCGACAUAAAUUAUUUUUACACUUUUGCCCAUGUGACUAAAAUUUCCUUGAUUUGAGUAUUGUUAGCCUUAAAAUCUAUUCAUAAACUAGGGAUACACUGGAUGGAUGUUAAAAUAGUCUUUUUGAGUGGUGAUUUGGAGGAAGAAAUUUAUAUGACUAAACAUGAAGGGUGUGUUGUACUAGGUCACGAGAAUAAAGUAUAUAAACUUUUAAAAUCUUUGUAUGGGUUGAAACAAGCACCAAAACAAUGGCAUGAAAAACUUGAUAAUGUAUUGCUAUGGGAUUGGUUUUCACCUAAUGAUGUUGAUAAUUGUGUGUGCUCUAAAUUUAAAAAUGGUGUUUGUGUUGUAGUGAUUGUUGACAACACAAAACUAUAUAUCAAAGUGGUUUUUGAUGAUGACAACACAUUGCUUAAUAACAGUACAUAAGUUCCAAUAUUACAUGUUCAGCUGAUAUGCUAUACUGUUUUGAACAAUGAUUUUGUUGAACAUGUUUUGUUGUUUUGCAUGUGUGCUCCCUUGAUUGAUUAUGUGUUAUAUGUUUGGAACAUUCUUGUAUUGAAAUGUGUGAUAAAAUGAUUUGGAGUAUCUUCUUCACAUUUCUAAAGAAAAGCUGACAAGCACUUUUAUGAACUUAUAUUUGUUGUGACAAAGAUAUGGUUCAGUCGAAUACACUGGUAUUGGAUUCAACUAAGCUAAAAUCUAUAUACAAAUUUUGUGAACAUGUGCUUGAUGAGAUUUUGAGUUGAAAAGAAUUUCAAAGUGUUUUUCAAGUGUCAGUCGACCUGGUGGAACACCUAUUCGACUGUGUUGUUGUUAUUUUUGGAAUUCUGUUAUACCUACUUGCUCCAACGGCUAGUUUUUCAAAAGUUAGUUAAGAUUGACUGACUCAGUCAACUGUAAUGAAUGUGCAUUGAAUUGGUUGACUGAGGAGCCUAUAUGUUGAUUGUCUGUUAUAACUGUUUAAUAUAGUCAAUUGGAUUAAUAGGGUAUUCGACUGAGAAUGACAGGAAAACUAUAAAUAGAAUAGAGCAUGAUCUGUUAUGAGAGACUUAUUGAUCUAACAUUUUCAUUGUCCUGUUUCAGAGUUAUUUCUCAGUUUUGGAAGCUCCAAGAAUUCUCUAAGAAGAUCCUUGUGAUCUUUCUUGAGCGAGAUUCAGAUUAACGAGUCAAUUGCACAUACUGAUUGAUCAACAUCUGCACAAAGAAGGUGCUUCUGGUUUGAUCUUGAAGGCUUGGCAUCCUGUAAAGACUACUACAUUUGACUGAAGGCUUGGAAACCUGGGAAGUGUGUUGUGAUAGGCUUGGCAACCUAUGAAGCGUGCUGUGAUAGGCUUGGCAUCUUGUGAAGAGUGCUGGUGACACGUUGAGGAUUGUUCUACAUGGGUGCAGAUUGCAGAAGAGGGGAUUCUUGCUGCAAUUCUGGUUUUGUAUGCAGCUAUAUUUUGGUUUUGGGUUAGAGAGGAGAUUUAUAUUUUUGUGUGGUGCUUCUAUAAAUUCCUUGUUGUAAAAACCGCAACCAUUAUAGUGCGUUUGCUUCCAAGGUUGGAAGGACACUGGAUUUAGGCAUUGUUGGCCGAACCAGUAUAAAAACCAGUGUUUGAUUUUCUCUAUCCCUGCACUCUUUAUUUCAGUCGACUUUAUAUUUAGAGCAGUCAACUACGUUUUUCCGCUGCGUUGAAAUUUUCAUUACUUGCAUUUUAAGGAAAGAUCAAAAGCUUUGAAUUUUCAUAUCAAGAUUGCGAAAAGAUUUUGUUUUUGAACUAACACCAAUUCCCCCCCCCCCCCUUGGUGUAAAUUGAAGCCAACAUGUUUGCUAACAAUUGGCACCAGAGCUGGUUUUCAUAAGAUAUUUGAAAAUUCAGUCGACUCUGUUUUUAUUCUAUUCGACUAUAACACCUGGGGAUGGCUUCAAAUUUUCAAACUUUUGGUGAAGGUGCUUCAACAAACAGACCACCUCUGUUUGCUGGUGAAAACUAUCCUUUUUGGAAAAUCCGCAUGGAGAUCUUUCUUGAAUCGCAAGAUAAAGGAAUUUUGGAUGCCACUUUAAAUGGUCCAUAUGUGCCUACAAAAAUUGUUGAUAAUAAAACAGUUUUGAAACCUUUUAUUGAGUGGAAUCUUGAUGAAAAUAGAAAAACUCAGUAUGAUGUUAAAGCUAGAAAUAUUAUUACCUCUACACUAACAAUUGAUGAAUUUUUCAAGAUAUCCCAAUGCAAGACUGCAAAGGAAAUAUGGGAUGUUCUAGAGGUAACACAUGAAGGCACGGGUGAAGUCAAGAGAGUCAGGAAGAAUUCAUUGAUACAAGAAUAUGAGUUGUUCAGAAUGAAAGCUGGUGAGAACAUCUAUGAUGUCCAGAAACGGUUCACUCAUAUUGUAAACCACCUGAUGGCUCUUGGCAAAGCCUUUGAGAAAGAAGAGAUCAACAUCAAGAUUUUGAAAAGUCUGAACAGGAACUGGCAACCUAAAGUCACUGCAAUCUCUGAAUCCAAAGAUCUUACAACUAUGAACAUGGCUAACUUGUUUGGCAAGCUACGUGAACAUGAAUUAGAUUUUGGUAGACUAAAGGAUGAAGAGGAGAUUGAAGAAAAGAAAUCCAUUGCUCUGAAAGCUGCAAGUAAUAAUCUCACAAAAGCAGUGAUGGAUGACAAAGAGCUGAUGACUCUCAUGGUAAGAAAGUUUAGUCGACUUAUGCAAAAUGAUAGUCAAUUGUCUAACCAUGCAGGUCAAAGCAAGAAGAAAAGCUUCAGCACAAACACUGUCUAGUGCUAUGAAUGUGGAAAAGAAGGUCACAUCAAGCCUGACUGUCCUGAAUUACAGCCAAAACAGAAAGGGAAGAAAAGAUUUCCUCAAAGCAGAAAUAUGAGAAACAAAGGAGCCUACAUUGCUUGGGAGAAUUUUGAAUCUGAAAGCUCAAGUGUUGAGGAUCCUGAUCAAGAAGAGGAAUCAAAUUUGUGCUACAUGACAGGUGUAACAUGGGACGAUUAUAGUAGUGAUGCAGACAUAUCAAAUGAGCCUGUAGAAGUCAAAUAUGCUCUGCUUCAAGAUGCAUUCCAAGAGCUACAUGUUGAGGCCAUUUGACUGCAGUACAAGGUAAAUCGACUGUCCUCUAAGAGAAGAGAUUUUGAAAAUAGAAUUAAAGACCUUGUUACUGAAAAUGAAAUAUUAUAAAAAGAAUUGGAUUUAGCCUUGCUAUCUUCUAAGAAUGUGGAAAUUAAAACUGUUACUGUUGAAAAAGCUUAUGAAAAUUGUCCUUUGCAUAUUGAAAAGAUUGAUUACUUGACUAGCAAGCUAGCUAAGUUUACUCAAGCAAGUGACAAGUUAGAUGUUGUAUUAAAUUCCUCUAGCAGAAUUAAUAAUAGGCAAGAAAUUGGAUUUAAAGGAUACUCUAACGGAACCAAUGCUAGAAAGCUUAAUGAAUUAAGAAAACCUGCUAGAAAUGCAUGUUUUUACUGCAGAUGUGUUGGUCAUACUGUUAGAAAUUGUUACUAUAGACAUGUUGUUCCUCAAGGAUUAUGUGUAUGGAUACCAAAGGAACAUGUAACAAGAACUGACAAUCAAGGACCCAAAGUUAAAUAGGUACCAGCAACCAAAACUUAACUGUCUUGCAGGUUAUGCAGCAGAUACAAAAUUGUUCUCAAGGACAAGUCAACUAUGGAACAUUUCAAAAACCUUGAGUGUCUACAACUGGUAAAUCUGUAUCUACCUAUUGCAUCCGACAUAUACUGAUUGAAUGUUGUUGUAUGAUUGUUUGUAUUGUGUGCUUAACUGUUUGAUUGAUUGAAUUUGGGUGAAAAGAUUUUUAGAAGUCACAGUCAAUUGUUAUAUUUAUGUAUUCGACUAACCACUGAAAGUCUUGAUUAGUCUGAAAUUCAAAAUUCUAUUUUGGUGCGAAAAUGAAAUUUACAUGUUCCCUCCAAAACAUAACCUCACAUAUCAGAUUAAAUCCUGAAGUAUCAUUGGAACCGCUUCAUAGUCACUUUCUUCAUCCAUCACAAUUCUUCUUAAAAGGGGUUUUCGUUUGCUUCUCCCUCGCAUUACGAAAAAUGGAGUCAAGUUAUGCUCAGAAAAGACGAACCAAGACACUUGGGCAGAAGCGCUUUCGAAGGGGCCCAGAACUACACAAUUGGAUAAGCGAUGAUGAUAUUCAAGACAAAUUUCUUGAUUGCUGGAAGAUGAGAAGCCUAAUACCUCACAGGUAUACAAAAAUAAAAUUUUCCAGAGAAGAAGGAUUUGAAUUUCAAAGAUGGAUCAAGCGCCAAGGACUGAGAAAGUUUGUUGAAAUGUCUGAACCUUGGUACCCCGACCUGGUAAAAGUGUUCUACUACAAUCUCUGUAUCUAAGAUGGUAUACUCUGCUCUAGAGUUAAGAGGGUGAAUAUCAGACUGACUGAAGAAGUUUGGGCAAAUGUAGUGGGCAUAAAAUCUAAAGGAUCAUCUUGCCACCUUGGAAGUGAAGGAUUUCACAAAUUCACUGAGUAUCUGAAUACUCUGAGAAACCCUGAGGGAAGUAAAGAUUAUUCCAGUUACAAGACUGAGGGAUGAAAAUAGAUAAUCGACUGUCCAUACUAGUCAUUUCUUGGAUCCUAAUGCCAAGAGGAGGUAAUCAUGCUCAAGCCACUACUGAGGACUUACUGUUGCUAAAAGCAUUGAAAGAAAACAUCCAAGUCAACUGGGUUGCUGCCAUAUCCGACAAUAUGUUAAAAGUCAUAAGACUUGAAUCUACAAAGCUCCCAUACUGCGUCUUUAUAUCAAAAGUCCUUGUGCAUUAUGAAGUAGAUUAUGUCAGUGAAUCAAGUAAACCAUGCUCCACGUCUAGCAUGAUUGACAGGUGAUGAAGGUUGAAAAAUAAUUAUUUUCAUAUGUCAAUUUGGACCAAAUUACACCCUUUACUACUCGGAAUGAGCUUAGAAUCAAGCAAAACUCAAUAAAUGAGUCUGGAGAGAGACAAAAGUUGUUUUUAGCGAUUUUAUGCUUGUUUUGCAUUGUUUUGAAGCUAAUUUGAGAAAAUCAGAGAAUGAAGUUGAAGAUACAGGUCGUUGACUCAAGAAAAGAGUAGAAAAAUGAAGAUUUCAAGAGUCGACGCACCGCCCGGCGGCACACUUAAACCGUCGGGCGGUCCAGGACGAGGAGAAGGCAUGGCGAUUGACGCUGGGCGGACCUGAGGCAAACCGCUCGGCGGUGGCGAUUGCCGCCGGGCGGUAGGGCGAUUUGUGGUAAACCGCCAGACGGCACACUUAAACCGCCCGACGGUGGCUCGCUGGACUUGGGCCCAAUUUCUGACGCGCUCCUCACCUAUAUAUACCCCUAUUACGAAUUCAGAAUCAUUCUUUUGACAGGGGAGAACGACCAGACCUAAUUUUGCUCUCUAGAGAGGAUCUCUUGGAUGCUUAGGCUCCUUUUCAUCUUAGGGUUUGUUUUUCCAUUCUUCUUCCAUUUUUCAUCUAGUUUCACCAUGACUAUGGUGAACUAAACCCUAUUGUUGUUGGGGGAAACAAUGUAAUCUUUUGAUACUCUCUCUUAUUGAAUCUCUUGAUUAUUUAUAUGGUCUCCAUAUGUUUUGAUUGAUUUUUGUUGGGUUAUCAUCUGUGCUUAAGGCCUUUAUCGUUUAACUCAUUCGGUAUAUUGAUUUUUAUCUUUAUUGACAUGGGGACGUGCAAUAAUGACAUGAACUGGUGAGUAAUCUCUUGAUUUUGCAAUACCACCUAGGGAUAGGGGUAGGACGAUCAAUUGCGCUAAAUUCUGUUUAUAAUGCAGUGUUAAUUACUAGAGGAGGCUAGGGAUAGCAAGCGAGUAGUUAAUAUUAGGCCAUUUUCACCGAGGGAUCGGGUUAAGGGGAGGCUAAGAAAGUCGCAUAACAAUUAAUCAAACAAAUAUUCAAGGGUAGUAUGUAAGAGAGAGUGGAAUAGAUGAAAUUGUAAACCCUCAACAACAUCCAUUCAUCCAUUUUUUUUGUUUGUCAAUUGAAUCAACUUUAUUUUUUGCAUGUUAAUAUUUUUGUUCUCAAAUCCAAAUUUAUUAAUUUUUAUUUUUCAAGUCUUAUUAUUUUAAUUCACGCGAACGAGAAAGCCACACGAGUCUCUUGGGAAAAUGAUACUUGGUCUUACCAUUUAUAUUACUUGUACGAUUUGGUACACUUGCCAAUUUGUCAACAACAGGAUUACAUUGCAUCUUAUGCAAAUGACAAAGAUCGAUGAAGGAUGGUCAUAUAAACUCGAGAACUCAAGUGAAGAAAAUGAAUUAGAAUCCUUUCUCAACAACAACUACAGAGCGAAAUCCGAAUUUGAAAGAAUCAUGCUGAAUGGAAUGAAAUUGGUGAUAAAUCUUCUAAAAGAUAAGAAUGCAACACGAAGCCAUAAUGAACAUCCAGAUGGCUCUGAAACUACAGAUAAAAGUUCUUCUAAGAGUGGGGAUGAUGAUAGCAGUACAGAUGACAGUGACAUGAUACUUCAAGACUUUUGUAACAAAAAGAAAAAGUAGAACUAAUGUCUUAGUCUACUUUUUUAUUUUGUAAAAUGGCAUAUAAGGCCAUAUUUUGUUUUUGUCUUGUUUUGUUUUGAUUGUAUUUCCUUUCUUUACUCUAUCAAUGUAACAUUUGUUUCUAUCAAGGAAAUAAUAUUAGCAGUUUGAAUCAAUCCAUAUGCUUAACCAUUCACUUAAGCUGUCAAAUAAAAUCUGCUACUCUGUUUGGAGGAUUCGACUGAGUUAUGAAUGAAGUCAAUUAUGCUAUAACUGUCAUGCAUCUUUAUACAUUGACUUCUGUUAUGAUUUGUUUUUAUUCUUGCAUAACCACUGUACUUGAUCUGGAAAAGGGUUUUUGAAAGGUUUUGGACAUAUACUUUUGAAAUUCAACAUUUUGGAAAGCAAUGCAUUCGACUGAUGAGUUAAAGCAUUCGACUGCGUCAAAACUGGGUUAAAAAUUCCAAUUUUGGAAUUAUCUCCUAUCCCUACUGACUGCUUUAAUCAUUAGCAUUAUGAUAUUAUCUCUGUUCUUUACUUGUUUUUAUAUCUAAGUUGAGAUAAUAUUGUGAGAUUGUUGAUAUUUGUGUCAUUGCAUAUAUAUAUGUGUUUGAAAUGAGUAACAAUGAUACAAAUUUGUGCUUAAACUGGUAUUUGAUUUGUGAUAUUAUGCAUUAUGCAUAAUUGAGUUGUGCUUAAACUUUUUUUAAAAUUCAUGCAUAAUGACAGGGAGAGUAUCACUUCUUUACACAAUGUUUCAUCACACACCUAUAUUUCAGGGGGAGUUUACAUAUAUUGUUUUUGUGAUGAACUUGUGAUUUUCAGAGCAUCCUUAUUAUGUUGAAACUAAAUAUUUGUUUGAUGCUUCUCUAUUUUUCAAAACUACAUAAAUAUCUAAGCAUUCCUUUUUUGUUAAUGCACAAAGGGGGAAAGUUUUCAUGACUGUAUGAAAGCAAGUCUAUAUGGGGAGAAUUGCUACAUCAUACUUUAUUUGCUUGAUAUUUUUGCUGUGUAUGCAGAGUAAAUGAACUGUUUGUAUUGAUUGUGUUAUCUGCUUAUACUGUGUUAAAUUGUGGAACUGUACAAACAUGGUUUAGUUAUUAAUCAUGGUUGUGCAUCAUCAAAAAAGGGGGAGAUUGUUGAGAUUGUUGACAAUACAAAACUCUAUAUCAAACUGGUUUUUGAUGAUGACAACACAUUGCUUAAUAAAAGUACAUAAGUUCUAAUAUUACAUGUUAAGUUGAUAUGCUAUACUGUUUUGAACAAUGAUUUUGUUGAACAUGUUUUAUUGUUUUGCAUGUGUGUUCCCUUGAUUGAUUAUGUGUUAUAUGUUUGGAACAUGCUUGUAUUGAAAUGUGUGAUAAAAUGAUUUUGAGUAUCUUCUGCACAUUUCUAAAGAAAAGCUCACAAGAACUUUUAUGAACUUAUAUUUGAUGUGACAAAGAUCUGGUUCAGUCGAAUACACUGGUAUUGGAUUCGACUAAGCUAAAAUCUGUAUACAGAUUUUGUGAACAUGUGCUUGAUGAGAUUUUGAGUUGAAAAGAAUUUCAAAGUGCUUUUCAAGUGUCAGUCGACCUGGUGGAACACCUAUUCGACUGUGUUGUUGUUAUUUUUAGAAUUCUGUUAUACCUACUUGCUCCAACGGCUAGUUUUUCAAAAGUUAGUUAAGAUUGACUGACUAAGUCAACUAUAAUGAAUGUGCAUUGAAUUGGUUGACUGAGGAGCCUAUAUGUUGACUGUCUGUUAUAACUGUUUAAUAUAGUCAACUGGAUUAGUAGGGUAUUCGACUGAGAAUGACAAGAAAACUAUAAAUAGAACAGAGCACGAUCUGUUAUGAGAGACUUAUUGAUCUAACAUUUUCAUUGUCCUGUUUCAGAGUUAUUUCUUAGUUUUGGAAGCUCCAAGAAUUCUCCAAGAAGACCGUGGUGAUCUUUCUUAAGAGAGAUUCAGAUUAAGGAGUCAAUUGUGCAUACUGAUUGAUCAACAUCUGCACAAAGAAGGUGCUUCUGGUUUGAUCUUGAAGGCUUGGCGUCCUGUAAAGACUGCUGCAUUUGACUGAAGGCUUGGCAACCUGGGAAGUGUGCUGUGAUAGGCUUGGCAACCUAUGAAGCGUGCUAUGAUAGGCUUGGCAUCUUGUGAAGAGUGCUGGUGACACGUAGAGGAUUGUUCAACGUGGGUGCAGAUUACAGAAGAGUGGAUUCUUGCUGCAAUUCUGGUUUUGUAUGCAGCUAUAUUUUGGUUUUGGGUUAGAGAGGAGAUUUAUAUUUUUGUGUGGUUUUUCUAUAAAUUCCUUGUUGUAAAAACCGCAACCAUUAUAGUGCAUUUGCUUCCAAGGUUGGAAGGACACUGGAUGUAGGCAUUGUUGGCCGAACCAGUAUAAAAACCAAUGUUUAAUUUUCUCUAUCCUUGCUAAUAACUCUCAGAUUUUGCACUUUUAUUUGUGAUUAGGAGUCCAUGUUAGAUCAUUUUAGUUUCUAAUUGUUUAGAAUUAAGUUAGUUUUAGGAUUUUUCUUUAAAAUUGUAGUUUUAUAAAAUUUUAGUUAAAAAUAGGUUUUUAGGAGUUUUUUUUUAGUGUUUGUUAAUAAUUAGGAAAUUAGUACUUUUGAAAAAUCUUUUAAUAAAAAUUAUUUUCUUUGUUUUAGCUUAAAUAGGUUUUUAUCUUCUUUAAUUUCUGAAUUGUCCUCUUUUUCUCUAAUUGUUGAAUGAACCUUGUGCAUAAUUGAAUUAAAAUUCCUAAUUAGGCUGAUUGGAUUACAUUUGGGCUGUUGUGUGCAGAGGUAAUAUUGGGCUGUGAUGUAUUUGAGGUUAAUUAAGCCCGUUCUGCAUUGGGCUAUAUUGAGAAGUGCUGAUUUGAAGUGGACACGCUGCUGCCACACUUGGGGUACUGCUGAUUGGAUUUAAAAUAAAAAGCUUGAGGCUGAAAUGCAAUGAGCGUUGCUGGUGCAUCAAACAAGUUGGGCUGUCAAGGUUUGGGCUGCACUUUAGUUGGACGACGCCGUUUUGGGAGUUACUGUUGCAGGGGUCUUUGCACCUCAUCUUCAUUCACACAAGCUCUCGAGAAAUUCAUUUGAGGAAAAAAAAGAAAGCUCAAAGCUAGGGCUGGUUCGCAAGCGAGAAGGCAAAGCUCGAAGAAGUCAGUGCUCCAAACGUCACUGACUGCAGGAGAGGAUCAAACGGCCAGAAUAAGGCGAGGAAGUAGGAGAAAGGGUGAUCGUCCGAUCAAAAAGCGCGAAGCAUCCAAGUGAAGGUUUCUCUUUUCUAGAUUUUUCUUUCUUCGUUCUAGUUUCGAACCCUAUAUAAAGGGGCUUUUAUCUUGUAAAUAGAACAGACACACACAGACACUUUUCAGACUCUCUGCAAUUCUCCAUUUUGUAGAUUAGGAUUUUUUUUUCUCUUACUUAGAAGUAGGGUUUUUGGCUAUUGGAUUUCGCCGAGAGGCUUGCGAGAGUGACAGACCGCGAGUGCAUUGGUGAAUCUGGUAGUGUGUAAUUCUCUUUUCAUGUUAAUAAAGUUUGUUCAUAUUCUUGUUCGUUUUGAUUUUGUUCUUUACUUUUGAAUUUUGUACUUGUUAUGUUUUGAAAAAUGAAUUGGACACUGAUUAUCUGCAUCUCUAUAAUUCCUUUUGGAAUUAAAUGACUCCAUAGCGAGCAUUCUUUAUCGAGAUGUCUUCUCGAGUCAGAGUGAGUUCAACAAGAGAAAAUAUUGUUUUUAAUAUUUUUCAUUUCAUUUUAAUUAGGAUUUUAUACGUUUUAGGGUAGAUUUUAUGUGUUAGUAAGUUUCUGUCUCUGAUAUUGAUUAGAAGCAUGAAUUAGAUUUAGGUUCAUUCUGAAUUUGAUGAAUUGAGUGAUGAUUAUUGACUCUUAAGUUCUGGAAAUGAGCUUUCAGACCCUGUGAUGGGCUUAUUUUACCAGGAUGUCUUACUGACAUAUGAUCUAUCACUCUGUGCAUUGAUUUCAUAUGAAUUUGAUUCUAGUUUUUUAUUCAAACCGAUUCUCAUUGCUGAUUCUGUGAUUUUUUCAUAUCGCUUUUAAUUGUAAUAUCUCUGGUAGUGGAGUUGCACAUAUGAUAGUUUGAUUUGGUACUGUUUUAAAUAUGUUCAGUUCAUUUAGUUGUUGAUUUCGGUUUGGCAUGAUUGUUUCUUAUUACUGUUGUUUAGAUUGUACAGUGUAGGUUUCUAUCUUAGGUAGUUUAGAUUUCUAUUUUCUUUUAUUUUUCCUUUUUAGUUCAUAUUCUUCUUUCUUUCAAAUAGAUUUUAAUUCAGUUUUAAUUCUUUUAUUUUUCAUUCCAUUUUCUUUUUACUGUCCCCACCUAGCAAUAUUGGUAAAUAAUUAGUAAAUAAGUACAAGACUUUAACCAUACACUUUAAACUUAACAAGAGAGUCCUAGGAUUGAUAUUCUGGUCAUCCCUAUGCUACAUUAGUGGGGACCAGUAUUUUGUUCUCUUUUUGUGCGACCAAAACGAGUUUAACACUUGCACUCUUUAUUUCAGUCGACUUUAUAUUUUGGAGCAGUCAACUACGUUUUACCGCUGCAUUGAAAUUUUCAUUACUUGCAUUUCAAGGAAAGAUCAAAACCUUUGAAUUUUCAUACCAAGAUUGCGAAAAGAUUUUGUUUUUGAACUAACACCAAUUCACCCCUCCCCCCCUCUUGGUGUAAAUUGAUGCCAACCUGUUUCCUAGCAUGUGUCAUUAUAUGUUUGUAUGUGGAUGACAUGUUAGUUUUUGGUACAAACAAUGAGAUUGUCGCUAGAACUAAAUUGUUUCUAAGAUCAAAUGUUGAAAUGAAAGACAUGAGUGAAGCCAAUGUGAUUUUAGGUAUUAGAAUCAUAAGGAAGAGAGAUAAUAUAUUACUAUCCCAAGAACAAUACAUUGAGAAACUUCUUAAGAAGUUUGAGUUUUGUGAGUUUAAACCAGUGAGUACCCUUUAUGAUGCUAAUUCUAAAUUAAUGAAAAAUAAAGAAGUGUCUAUUUCUUACCCUCAAUAUGCCCAGAUAAUCAGGAGAUUACUACACUUGAUGAACUUUUUUGGACCUGAUAUUGCUUAUGCAUUAGGUAGACUUAGUAGGUACGCUCAAUGUCCAAAUCAAGAACAUUGGGAUGCACUUUCUAGGCUUAUAAGAUAUUUAAGAGAUUCAACGGAUUAUGCUAUUGAAUGUAGUGGAUUUCCUAUUGUACUAGAAGGGUACAAUGAUUCUAACUAGAUAUAUGAUUCAGAUGAGACAAAAUCCACUUGUUGUUAUGUACUCACACUGAGGGUGGUUCAAUUACAUGGAAAUCAACCAAAGAAAUAAUUAUUACAAGAUCAACAAUGAAAUCUGAGUCUGCUACUCUUGAGAUGGCUGGUAAUGAGGCCGGGUGGUUGAAAAGCUUCUUAGCAAGCAUUCCACUAGGAGUGAAACCAAACCCAUCAGUGUCAAUACACUGUGAUUGUCAAUCAAUAAUAAUUAUAGUUAAAAGCAAGAAUUACAAUGGAAAUAAUAGACAUUUACAAUUGAGACACAAUUUGGUGAAACAACUGCUAAAGAGUUCCAUUGAUUAUGUGAAGUCAGAAUGAAAUCUAGCAGAUCUUUUGACAAAACCCCUAGGAAGACAAAUGAUAUUAGAAACAUCGAGGGGAAUGGUGUCACAUCCCGAUUUUUGGGAUGUCGCGAUUACGAGUGAAAUUUAAAAUUUUUAAAAUCAUAAUACCAUUGUGGAAAUACACUUUAUAAUACAAAAAUUAGUAAAAUAAAAACGAAAUAAAAGAAAUCCGAUUACAUUGUCUCUAACAUUUAUAGCAUAAAAACUUUAAAUAACAUAGGUCUUUUUCCCACUCUCGCCUCUCUAUCAUGCAUCUAGAGCAACUGCAACAUCUGCUCUCGUAUAACCAAAAGUUAUGCGAUCAUCGCAAGACAUACACAACCAUAAACACAAACAAAUAUGGGUAAGCUACCAUAGCACAACUAAUAACAAUAAAGUCUGUACAUAGGAAGCAAGCACGACUUACUAAAAUAUCAAUCAUAUGUAGCGCUAUCCUACUAACAAAAUCAUUUAUGCACCAUCAUCAUCAACAUCCUCAUUAACUAUAUCAUGCCUAUGCCAUCAAUGUCAUCCUCAUCAACAUUAUCUUCAAACACAUCGUCACUACGAAUCAUCGUCACAUGUACUUCCAUUAAAACUAACCUCAUCAUGAAUCCUUCAUCAUGAAUAACACCAUGAGCCUCCACAAUAUUAUAACUCCAUAGUGAAAAGAACCAGUCACACUCUUGUACUCUACCUCACAAACCUAUAGCCUCCCCUACAGGUCCCUUAUAACCUCUCCUACAGGUCUGCUUGAAUAGUCCUGCCAUCCUGGCUAAGGAACAUGUUUCCUACCACAAUGGAUCUUUAAGAAAAAGUAUCAGCCUGAUGGAUCUAUAGAGAAAUAUAUGGCAAGAUUAGUAGUAAAAGGUUUCAACCAAAAACCCAACAUAAUUUUUUUUCACACUUUUGCUCCUAUGACUAGGAUUUCCUUUAUUUGAGUAUUGUUAGCCUUAACAAUAUCCAUAAACUAGUGAUACACAAGAUGAAUGCUAAAACAACCUUUUUGAAUGAUGAUUUGAAGGAAGAAAUUUAUAUGACUCAACCUGAAGGGUGUGUUGUAUCUGGUCAAGAGAAUAAAGUAUGCAAACUUUUAAAAUCUUUGUAUGGGUUGAAACAAGCACCAAAAUAAUGGAACGAAAAACUUGAUAAUGAAUUGCUAUAUGAUGGGUUUUCACUUAAUGAUGCUGAUAAAUGUGUGCACUCUUAAUCUCAAAAUGGUGUUUGUGAAAUUAUAUGUUUGUAUGUGGAUGAAAUGUUAAUUUUUGGUACUUGCAAUAAGAUUGUCACUAGAACUAAAUUGUUUCUAGGAUCAAAUUUUGAAAUGAAAGACAUGGGUGAAGUUAAUGUGAUUUUAGGUAUUAGGAUCAUAAGGAAGGGAGAUAGUACAUUACUAUCCCAAGAAUAAUACAUUGAGAAACUUCUUAAGAAAUUUGGAUUUUAUGAAUUUAAACUAGUGAGUACCCCUUAUGAUGCUAAUUCUAAGUUAAUUAAAAAUAAAGAAGAAUAUAUUUCUCAACCUCAAUAUGCCAUGAUAAUUGGGAGCUUACUACACUUGAUGAGCUUUUCUAGACCUAACAUUGCUUAUGCAAUAGGUAGAUUGAGUAGGUACACUCAAUGUCAAAAUCAAGAACAUUGGGAUGCACUUUCCAGGCUUAUAAGAUAUUUAAGAGGUUCAAUGGAUUAUGCCAUUGAAUAUAGUGAAUUUCUCGCUAUACUAGAAGGGUAUUGUGAUGCUAAACCCUAGGAAUACAAAUGAUAUUAGAAAAACCCUAGGAUUAAGAUAAAACGAAAUCUAACAGAUGCUUUAACAAAACUCUAAGAAGACAAAUGAUAUUAUAAAAUCAAGGGGAAUGAGACUUAAGCCACUUGCAAACAAACAACUGAUGGUAACCAACCUUUGUGAUUGGAGAUCCCAUGAGUAAGGUUCAUAUAGGUAAAAACAAGUCACUCAUUAGUUCUUAUAGCAUUGAAUUGAUUUUAAUCAAAUAUGUCCGUUCCUAUGGUGUGUGAAAAUGCUAGAUACUGCAUUAUGAGAUAUUAAACUUUGUCAUUAAAAUUCUGUAUGACGAAGGAAUUUUAGCUUAAACAAAGUUUUUGAUAAUUUUCAUAUCCCUUAUGGGUGGCGUAUGAUUUGCAGCAUACACUUGAUGAAACACUAGUACAAAAACAGCAUACAACGUCGAAUAUUUUGGACCUUUCACGUCGAAUUCGAGGUCGAUGUCAUAAUGGAAGAUGUUAAAUUGACAUCGAAUUUAAAAAUUCGAUGUUAAAUUAACUUCGAAUUUUGUCAAUAUACGAUGUUAAAUUAACAUCGAAUUUUGUCAAUAUAUGACAAUAAUAAUUUUUUUUAAUUAAUUGUGAUCUUUUUUUACAAUUCUACGAGACUAGAAAAUUAAGAAAAACAACAAAUUUUAGUUUUUGAUAUUUCAUAAAGCAUGAACUAUGAAGUAUCAACAACAAACAAGAAUAACCAACAACAAAUAAGUUCAAUCAAACAACAACAAUGAACAAGUUCAACCAAAGAACAACAACAAACAAGUUCAACAAAAUAACAAACAAGUUCAACAAAAUAACAAACAAGUUCAACAAAAAACAAAAACAAAUUCAAUAAAUAAGUUCUUCAAAAUGAAAACAAAAACUAACCUUCAAAAGGUGGGUUCGUCGAAAUAAAGUGUCGUCACUAGUGAGAGAGAAAGCAGAAUGCGCCUAUGAAUGACAAGAACACGAAAAUAAUCGGUCAAAACAAACGAAAAUCAUACAUAAAGUAGUUAAUUAACAUGCAUUUGUAUCAAAUGAAAGAAAGAUUACAUGUGAUGGUCUCGUUCGAGAAAAGUUUGAGAAGAGAAGAGGGUUUCACAUGCUAAGAUAAAGUGAAUGAAUUUUCAAUCUCCUAUUCAAAUUUUAUUAAAUUCAUUAACCUUUUGACGUCUAACGUUGGGGCAUUCGACGUUUUAUAUCCUUUUACAUCGAAUUACAAUUCUAAAUGACGUCUAAUAAUUGCAUUUAUUUAAAAAAUGCCACUGGUCAUUUUUAACGUUGGCUAUUCAAUGGUUGGACAUUAAACGCGUGAUACGCUGUUUUUGCACUAGUGAAAUCACCUAUAUGAGUGUCAAGUGGGGCCGCUUGCAUGAGAUUUUGGCACGAUCUUUAGAGCACUAUGAAUAUCGGGCACGCAAAUGACCUAUUAAGUGCAAUACAACAAUAACAACAAGGAUUGUGGGGGUGUAUUGUGAUUGAUAAACCUCUAAAACAUGUCAAGUGUCUUUGGAUCAUAUAGCUUCCUAUACCAACUACAUUUUGUGUUAAGUUUCUUGAUCUAAGACUGAUUUAUAUAGCUUUCUAUACCAGCUCUGAUGCAUUACAAUCUAUGAAACCCAGGAUAAAGUUUCUUAUCUUUCUUUUAAUCUUUGUUUAACCAUUUGAAUAAAGAUUUGCGUUAUGGCUUUAUAUACAAUCAUUUUCCAAGUUUUCUAUUUUCUUUCUUUUGUAAUAUGUGGGGAAUUGUUGUAAAUAAUAUUUUAUUGCAAAAGAAACGUUUGAUUUGAAUGUGGACAAUGUUUAAAAAUGCAAACCGUUAGUUUUUAUUAUUCAUUAUUGUUAGCAAAACGUUUGGUACAACUUUAAUUUUUAUUUAUUUAUUUAUUAUUCAUUAUUUUGGCAACGGUCUUUGACGAAUUUUCUCAACUAGGGGGUUGCCUCAUGCUCUAUAAAUAGAGCAUUUCCUGCAUUUCUAAACACCCAACAUUUUCUCUCAUUCUCCUUCCUCUUAGUUUCAUCAUUUCUCCUUCUCUUUUCUAAAAAUAUUCUGGGUUUAUUUUUUACUCUUUUCAGGGUUCCUUGCUAGUACUGAGAUCCUCAGAAAUUUCUGAGAAGUUCCUAUUGUAUCAUUGGGGACUUGCGUAACACAUUGCAGAUAAGUCCUUGAGGAUUGUGAAACUACAUGCUUUAGGAAAUAUUAUUCGUGAUUUUGUUAGCAAUUUCUACAACAAAAAGUUAAUGCUCUGAGUAACAAAUCUUUUGGGAAAAAGUCUAUAUAAAGAGAAUUACAUGAAGAGAAAAAAAAAAGAAUCCAAAUUUUAUAUUUCUUAGGCUUACGCUGGUUUUUUCUAGAUCAAGCUUACCUCAUCUAGACUUUCUCUUUCAAAAAGAAAAGUUUCUUUACAAGUUUUUAGAUAUUCUUUGUACAAAAUUUAUAUCAUCUUGAAAAUAGUAAACAUUUGUACUUGUAUUUUAAGAACACUUUAUUGUUUUGUAGAUUCAAAAGUGAAUCAAAACACUUGUUAGUCUAACUUAAUGGAGUUAAACGAUCUAGUUAGUUAGACUAGUGUUAUAUUAGGAGUGGUGAAACUCAUCUAACUAGUGUUAUAAAACCCUUUAAGAGUACUUAAAGAAAAACUAAUCUUAAAUUAAAUUAGAGUGAAUCAGUAUAAAAAAAGUGUCUUCUCUUUACUUUCAUUUUAAAAAUUUUCUAAAAGCUUACAAAAAUAUGUAAGUGUUUAAAAUUACUUGUAAGGGGUCUAACACUAGUGCGGAAAUGCUAUUUAACGUCGGUUAAUUUGGGCUUUUAACGUCACUUUCACAUCCGAUGUCUAUACGGGUGACGUCUAUGGGACGUCGCAAUUCCUCAGAACCGACGUCCAUAUAAACGCCGGGUAACGAUAUCCACCGACGUCUAUAUAGACGUCUACUUAUACUCACACCGAUGUCUAAUUACUCUAUAUAGAUGUCCACCUUUGCUUAAACUGACGUCAACAUGAAUAUAUAUUGAGGUUCAAACUGACAUUAACCGACGUUUAUGUUCUUAUAGACGUCGAACCAGGCACUAACUGACGUCUAACAACGGCGUUGUGUUUUAGUGCAGUUUUGAUCCAGACUUUCAGUAGCAUUGUGUAACACUCUCCUCUCGCUAGUUUCCCCAUAAAAAAGUUUGCGUCUUUCGAAUCUUCUUAGACAUUCAACCCAAAACCGAACCUGGGUCCAUGACUACUUCCCAUUAUUCAACCGCAAAAUAAAAAAAUUACGGUGACACGAGAACUAGACAAGGACCCAAGUUCCAUUUUGGGUCGGAAGCCUUAGAAAACUCAAAAGAUCGCCACUCUUCUUGUGAGGAAACCAGCAAAGGGAGAAUGUUGCACUAUGUUACCCAAAGAGAGGAUCAAAACUGCACUAAAACACAACACAAAGAAAACAAAUUUUAAUCAGUUGAACGACAAGAUAAUCGAUAAAAAAACUAAAGAAAGUUUAAACGGUAAGCAUAAAAAAAACCACGCACCUGGGAUGCAAAAGAGAAAAAGGAGAGGACGAAGACAAUGACGUUAUGAGAAACGACAAUGCAAUGCCACAAGAGAUAAAAAGUAGAGGUGCGCAAGCGAGUAAAAGAAGAGGAGAAGCAGAGAAAAAGGAGAAGAGAUGAAGACGCGAUCAGAAACUGAAUGGCGAGAAGAGUCCGCGGUCUAUUUAAAAUGAAAUGGGGCGUCGGUUGUUCCAGAAACCGACGUCUAUAGACGUCGGUGUUUUAGGGGAUCCGACUUCUAUAGACGUCGGUGUCUCAGGGGAUUCGACGUCUAUUCUACGUCAAGAAGCUGAAAAGAUUGACGUUUGAUUUCCUGUCAAGGGUAGUUCACGUCGGUGCCCCUCCUAGCCGACGUCUAAAACCCCCGAAUUUGGUGAAAAUAAUCAAUUACAGGAACUUAGACGUCGCUUACGAUCAGAACCAACGUCUAAAUUGAAGAAUUUUUGUCUUCCCGCCUUCCAGACAGGCCUUAGACGUCGCCGUUUGACUAUCUGACGUCUAAGCCCCUGGGAAUUAGGUGAACAGCAUUAAUUGUAACCCACUCGACGUCGAGUUUUCAGGGGAUCGACGUCUAAAGCUGAACCGAUUGACGUUGGAUUUCCUGUCAGUGACUUGAACGUCGGUGCCCUUUUCUAGCUGACGUCGAAUUGACUGUCUUAUCACAUACCUCAGGGUCUUCGACGUCGGUUUGCGGCAGGUGCGACGUCUAUGAUGUCAUAUACGUCGCCUAACAUCGAAACUGACGUCUAAUUUACUAAUAUAUUUACGAUAAUGCCACCGUGCAGUAAUAGACGUCGGUUUUUCACGAAAACGACGUCUAAUGGGUGACGUUAAACAGCGUUUUUGCACUAGUGUAAUAUGCAAUAACUUGUAAUGUUUAUUUGCGAAAAUGUUAUUAAUGAAAAUUUUGAAAAUGAUUAUUGUUAUUAUAAAAUGGAAAAAAUAAAAUGAUUAUUUUAAAAUAAACAUGCAUGAAAAAAAAAAUCAUGAAAGGCAAAACACAAAAGUCGAAUUUAAUAAAAUAAAAAUCAUAAACGAAUGAUGUUUAAAAAGUUAAAUUUGAUUUUCUCUUUUCUCACUUGAAUUUUCAUCUUACUUUUUAUUUUUUAUCAAAAAAUUUAGAAGAUUAAAAAUUCAAAUACUAAUUUUCAAAAGCUUAAUUCCCGAAAUUUUGAUUAAAAAAAGUAACCAAAGUUAUCCUAAAUAAGACUGUUUCCUUUAGAAAAAAAAAAGGCUGAUGAUAAUUAUUUACUGGUACGAUUCAAAUUGUUAGAAAAUUUUAGAAUCGUAUACAGUACUCCUUUUACAUUUAAAUUUAGUUAUUUAUUCUGAUUUACGAUUUACUUUAAUAUUUAAUUUCCGUAUAAAAAAAAAUUCUUUUUCUAGUCAAUCCAUAACUUUUAAACAAAUGAAAUAAAAAUGAACCAAACAAACAUCCAAAUUUAAAGUUAUCCCAAUUUGAUUAAUUUGAUAAUGUAGAAAAUAGUGUCUAAAAAUAAAGAUAGUAUGAAAGAUUGCAUCACCGUAGAGAAAGAGAGAGAGCGAGAAGGUUCUAGUUUCAAAAUCCACGUGUCCUUCUCUCAGUAUUGCAUCUAUACCAUAUAAAUUGGUCCCUUUAUUACAAAGUUUCAUGUCAUAGGAUUUCCGGUUCUUCAUUAUUCUUCUCACCCUCAAUUCAAAUUCUAUUCCUCAGGUAACAUCUCAUAACAUUUUAUUCUUUUUGUGCAUUCAAAGUUUUUCACUGCUGAAGUUUUGAUAUCCUUUUGUUUAUUUUUUAUGAAGCCACAUUUCUCAUUCUCUAUAGGUGACAACGAUUUCAUCAAGAAACAUUACGUGACAUGAAAAAUUGUUGUUUGUGAUUGCUUUUUAUAAUUCAUGUUUCUUCAGUCUUUUUUUGGAGUUACGAGCAUUGUAUGGUGCUGUUGGGAAAAGGUUAUUGUUCGUGUGUUUGGAUGACCUUUUCGAUUGCUCAUUUGAUGUGGUUUUUGUUUUGUGAAGAUUAGAUUAGAUACAGAAGAUGCAGAAGGGUAGAGAAGUUCGGGAUGAUAUUUUUGAACCAAGAGGGUUUGGAGAUUUUGGUGGGUUUGGAUUUCAGGAAAGAAUGAUGCCAAGUCUUUUUGGAGGCAGGGACCCAUUUGACGAUCCCUUUUUCAGAGACCCGUUUGAUAGCUUGUUUGGUUCAAAUUCUGCAUCGAGAGCAAUGCAGAAUCCAAACAGAGAAAAAGGAGUAGUUAUAGAAGAGUUAGACUCUGAUGAUGAGGGCUCUGGUGAUUGCCCUCAAGAUGGGGACAAAGAUUUUGAUCAGAAAAAAUCUAGAUCAACCGUGGAACCAUCGGUUGAGCAUCCAGAUGAUGAUGAUGAUGAUGUUAGUGGUACGUUCUCUUUUCUGUUCUUAUUAUAUUUUCUAUUUUAUGAUUGUUAGGUGUUUUAAGGUUUUUAGUUCCAGUCACCUUCUCGAUUGUCACAUUGCAUGAUAUUGUAAAAAUUUGUCCACGUUUUGAUCAAUGUGACCACAAUUGUGAUUGUGUUGUUGUUACAAAACCUUUAUUUUGAACUGAAAUUGUGGUUGUACACAGCUUUUUAAAGCUUUGGAUAUUUCCAUUCCCUGAGCUUGUUGUUUCAUACCUGGUCCUAGGAGGAGGGUUAUCUUUGGACAAACAUUUCUUUUAUUUGCUUUAUGUAAUUGUUUUGUUUGAUUCGUUGCAGAAAGGAAGAACAGUGAUGUAACAUACAAGAAUGACCAUUACACGACCAAACCCUCGAAGGCUAACAAAUUUUCUUUUCAGAGUAGCAGAGUUACUUAUGGUGGAAUAGAUGGUGCAUAUUAUACUUCUACUAGAACCAGAAAGAUGGGGGCUAAUGGGGUAUGGGAUUUUGUGUUAGUGUCACUUGUUAGGAUUAUUAUUGCCAUUGGUAGUAUUGUUUGCUUUAACGUUAUCUUUGUGAGUCAGGUGGUAAUGGAGGAGAAAAAAGAAGCUGACUCAACAACAGGACAAGCAACACAUAGAAUUAGCAGAGGAAUCCAUGAAAAGGUGUGUAUAUUUGAUUUAACGAUCUAAGAAUGCACCUUUAGUGUAUGUUGCAACUAAUGUCAAGGUUAAGGUACACAAAAAAAGUAGUAAAACAUUAUAUGUGAAGUCAACUUGAAGGAGGCUCGUAAUUGUUAUGAUUGUUUUUUCUUCAAUCAAGAAAAACAAAAUCUCCUUUCAGAAAAGAUAAUGAAAUUAUAGUUUGGUCUUUGUUCUCUUCUUUAACUUCCCUUUUAGUAUCAACGAAAAUGUAGAAUUUAUUUUAACGUAGAUGUUAAGCACACAUAUGUUAUAUGUACAUGUAGGGUCAUUCGGUUUUUAGGAAGCUUGACUCAGAUGGUAAAGUUGAUACAACCCAAACACUGCACAAUCUUAAUGAAGGUUUGUUCAUUGUUUCUAUGUAAUUAUUAGUUUACAAUUUAAAAAGUUAUAGAUUUAUUUUUCCUUUUUUUCAAUACUGAUGUAUCUUUUUCGAUUUUUCAGAUGAACUUGUAGGAUUUGAAGAAGCGUGGAAAGGAAAUAAUAUGGCACGAUUGCCUGGAUUUGAUGUACAUAUGAGUGGGGGUAGGAUUUGAUUUAUUUCCUAAAUAUUCUGCUUGAUGUAUGCUCUAUCUAGUUUAUUUUUAUCAUGAUCACUUUUGUUUAUAAAAGUAAUAUUCAAUUUCAAAAAUAUCCUGACAUGUAUUUAUAUUUGUUGUUCUAUGCUUUAUAUGUGGUUAUUUUGGUAUGAUAAUCUGUGGAUGAAAAAAUAUUUGGACCUAAUUUACACUGCAAUUUGUCAUUCAAAACAGAGAGAGUAUGGAUUUGAUGAGCUUAUACAAUUAUAUACAUGUUAACCAGUAAAACGACAUCUUAAACGAAUUCUUUUAGUGAAAUUUAUUGCCAAAUUUAUUGCCAUACAAACUGCUAAACUGUCCUAUUGAGCUUCUUUUAAGCAGUUACCUUACUGCAACAUAAUAAUGUUUAGGUAUGUUUUUGGUGAAGUAAAAUUUUCCAUUUUGUUGAGUUGUUUUGGUACAGUUUUAUGUUAUCUCUCCCACAACUAUGAACAUGUUGGUCUCCUAAUUUGUGGGACUUUUAAGGUAACAACAAACUAACAACCUUACUAUUGCAUUUCGACAAGCCAACAACUUUACUAUUUUCAUAGCUUGCAGACGUAUAUUUACUAGUUGUUUUCCACAAAUAUAUUCUAAUAUGUUCAACUCUACAAUGUCAAGUACAGUAAGGUGAUAGUGAUAUAGCAAGCAUGUUUUAUAACCAGACUACACAUUUGAGCGACCAAAUUCAUGUUGAUGCAUGCUAAUCUGAACAUACGGUCUAUAAAUGGGGUGUGCUAUUGUGACUCAUACUUCUUGAUUACAGAUAAUAUUAACCUUUUUCAACAUAUCUACAAUCAUUGUUUCAUCACAACCGAUUUUCAACAUGAUUUGAUUAACUACUAAGUGUCUGAAUUUUAGAGCAUCACAAUGUUGUAGAUUCCAGCAAUGUGAAGCAGAGCAGUAACCAGUCUUGGCCACUGGCAUAUUUGGAGCCAUCUAAAGGAGAGAGAAAAUUUCCAUCAAACCAUGAGGCAGGAAACAGUUCAGCGGGAACAAGAACAAAAAAAGUUAUUAGAAUCAAUAUUGAUUGAAUGUUGGGAUUUGGUAGUGGAUAUUGCUUCCCUUUCUGUCUGUAAACACAGAACUGAGGUGUGCUUUAGUAUCUUCAUUAAGAGCAUUGUAACUUUGUCUGGUGUUAAACUUCUCUUGUAUAAUAUUAAAUUUUAACCAUUAUUAAAUCUUGAAGUUACAUGUUAAACAUGGUAAAAUACUAUUAAGCAUGCCUUUAUUUUGUGUAAUAUAUAUAAAUAAAUGCAGGUUGAAUUAGAUAUAAAUUCAUAUUUAAAUAUUAAUAAACUAAAGAAAUUUGAGUGGGAUGAGAAUUAUUCUACUCGAGGUAUAUAUAGUUCCAUUUCAUUCUUCAUAUUAUUUCAUCUCCUACAAAUUAUUCAAACUUCUUAACUGAUGCAAGUUUUUUUCUACCGUAGAAAAUAUUUAAAGUCACUUUUCAUGAGCAUAUUUAAAGUUGAUUUAUUUAAAUAACUCUUCAAAGUCUCGUGAUUUCACUGAAUUUUUAACUACGUAUUUUCAAUUUAACUAUUUAAUGGAAUCUUAUUGUCUUAAAAAGUAAAUAAGUAUUUACUCUUUAAUUUCCAUUUCUGUUAUAUCAAUUUGAUUUGUUUGGUAAACUAUGAAAUUUUGCUUGAAAAUUAUAUGGAUUUUAGAAAUUACUUCAUAAAUAUCACAAUUAAACAUAUUCCUUUAUUUCAUUGGAGCUUUCAAAUCUUUAGGCGCACAGUCUACUCAAAUAAACUACACGAUCUUUAAAAUAAUUCAAUCAAUAAGUUAUAUAUAUACAAACAGACACACACAAAACUCAAACAUAUUUUUUUUCAAAACUCAGAAAAAUCAUGUCUCUUAUAUUUGUAUUGAAAAUUUUAUGGUGAAAGUAGUGUUUCGAAAUUUUGAAGUUUGUAACGAGACACAACUUCGUUCUUAAGAAGUAUCGUAACUGUUAUUGCCUUUUUUCAAACACCAAAAGCACCGUUUUCACGAUUCAGGUUUCCAUAUAAAUUUUUACUCUCCCUCUGUCUCUCGAUUUAGUUGUUAAGUGCACUGCAAUUGAAACAAAAUUGAAUAUAAUUAGGAGUAGAUAAUAUUAAAACCAACCGUCUUAAUUCCUCGUGUACUGUCACAUCCUUUGUUUCCUUGUCACAGAAAAUGUUGUAGUUCUCUGAGCAGAAAACAACCCUUUGCUUUGUUGGUGAAAUUUUCAUCUUAAUUUUGGCAUAUAAGGAGUGUCUUAGUUUAUCAAUUUAUUUCAAUAUUCUGAAUUUCGCUUCUUAUUUUUGUAAUGCAACAUGGGGUAAUUGUUUUUGGCAACAAAAUUGAUUNGUUAUGUUGUUUGAUGCAGGGUUGUGAAACUUGGACGUAAAUUGUAUGAUUAAAUUCUCCUAUGGGUGGUGGUGAGAGUCGUCUUCUAGCUAUUAUUAUUUUUGUCAUUCUUGCUAAGAAGUGAGUCAUGGGGAUGGUUUUCAUCAUCAAAGGAGACUCCUUCCAGUGAAAGGACCUAUUCUGGAGGCAAUUUCAGAGGUUCCAGUGCAGAGUUCUCCAUUGAGGUCUUCAACGACCAAAAGGGAGUGAAAUUAAUAGAUAAUGCUCAGAAGAAAAUGAUUACUUCAAACUCUUGUUGGUAAAAUGCAUAUCAAAAUCUUUUUGCUGGGUGUUUUGAGAUCUUGGCUGUUGAUGAGAAGAGGUCUAGAUUAGCUUGACACCUAAAUGAAGGCUUUUAUUAAUUUUCCUUUCCCCAGUUAAGAGUUCUCUUCGCACCAACCUUCAUUCCAACUUUCAGUAUCAGCACAACCAAAUUUUAAUUAAAAAAUUGGUCCGCAAAUACUGGGCAUGAAACCAUUGGCACCCCGACACAUAUUGUAAGGUAUAGUUCCAACCAUAGUGUGUUAUGAACCCUCCAAUUGCAGGGUGUGACAGUAUUAGCAAUUGAGGAGCCCAACCCCGAUUCAGAAGGCUUCUACCAUGGGUCCUUUCAUCAAACCCAUCUUCCUUAAUCCGUUUUGCAUUGCUUCUGACAAACUUCCUCCCCUGAUAACCCAAAUGAAGGGUCUUUUUGAUGCUUCGAAGGCUAAGCCAAGCUCCAUCAAUUGUGGCGGUGUUAAAUCGCAUAGGCUUCCAAUGGUGUUAAGUUCUUUAUGUAUGUACUUAGACAACUUCUUCAAAACUUGAAUCAUGCUAAUGACUAUGAAAGGGUUGCUCUCUUGACUCAAAGUGAGGUGGUCAAUUAUUUUUCAACAAAGCUCAAUGAUGAGGUAAAAUGUCUUUUAAUUCUCAAAAGUUUGCUAGGUUCUCUUCGUGAAGAACAAGAUUGGCUAUUUAGAUCAAACAAUAAUGCACAAUAGAAGAAAAAUUAAAAUGACUCUAAUCAUAUGUACACAUAUAAGCAAAUAAUUAACAAUAGUCAAUUGUAAAUCAAAAGUGACAACUCUCAAUAAAUCAAAAGCAUAAAAUCUCACAUUAUUUUGUUUUUAGUUUCCACAAGUUUCCAUUCAGCAUGCCACAAGCGCUAAUACAUUCUCAACAUACUAACACGAAAGUGUUAAUACAACAUCGUUUAAGCAAAUCUUGUUUUGAAGUUUAAUAAAAUGUCUAAACGAAAUAACAUUUAACAAAGCAAACUAUAUAGGAUAAAAACACAAGUCCUAAAUGCUAUACAUAAAAAUAUCCUAAACAUUAUACGUUACUCAAAUAGACAGUGCCUAAAUGCUUAUUCACAUAUAAUGCCUAAAUGCUUAGGAUCGUCUAACACUUUAAUGCAUGUACGUAGUGGUACUAUUUUGUUUGUUGUGUUGUGCUCUUUUUUUUUUUGUGUGCAUAUCAUUUCAGUACAAGUCUUUAUUCAAAAGCCUCCAUCAAAAUCAGAAGAAUAUUUAAAGAUAAGAAGAUAUUCUAGAAAUGUUUCAUUCAUACCUUCUAUUUAUCUCCUUCAUACACACAACACAUUUACCCUGCAAGAUGUAACAUGACUUUUGACCUCAUACUAAAAGGCUAUAUCCCUAUAAGAGGGUCAAAGCUCUGAGUAAUUGAUCUUUUCAAAGUCUAUACAAAGAGGAUUACAUGAAGAGAAGAAAAAAAAAAGAAUUAUCUUUGCAUACACUCACACUGUUAUUUUCUCUUUAAAGUUUACUUUGUCUAAGACUUGUUCUUUGAAAAAGAAAAGUUUCUUUACAAGUUUUCAGAAUCUCUUUAUAUUGAUUUCAUAUUCAUUCUACGAGAGCUAUAUUUUGUUCUUGUAUUUUGAAAAAUAUUUUUUUGUUUUCAGAUUUAGAAGUGAAUUCAAACACUUGUAAAUUUAACUCAGUGAAGUUAAACACUGUAGUUAGUUGGAAUAGUUUAUAUCAAGAGUGGUAAAACACGUUCUAACCAGUUGGGUUAGUUGUAAUACUAGCAACGGUUAAACUCGUCUUAUAAUUUUUUAGAUUAAUGGAACCCCUUAAGCGUGCUUAAAAGGAAACUAGACGUAGCUCAAUUUGGAUCAAAUCAGUAUAAAAAAUAAGUUUAUCUUAUUAUUUUUGUUUUUAAAAGUUUUCCUACACGUUGUUUGAAAUACAAGUGUUUAAUACUUAUUAUAGACCGUCUAACCCCUACAAAAGAACUUAAACACUUAUUUACAAAAAGUCUUAAAAACUUUAUUCAAACCCCGCUCUUUCUAGAGUUUUUGCUAUGUUAUAGAAAGCAACUACAAAUGUAUGCUUAACAAAAACAACAUAAUCUCAAUUUAAACCACAAAUCUCAAUUGUUAGCAAAUAGAAACUAUUAUUAUUAACAUGCAUAACUCACUCAAAUUCAAUAAGCCAUUAUAUUUGUUAACUAGACAAGUCACAGUUCUAAAUCAUUAUCAACUGAAAUUUAAAUACUAAAGCUUAAAGCUAAAGAGUAAAAACAGAAUACUAAACAAGAUUAUCUUCAUAAAAAAGAACUAAAUAAAAGGUGAAUCUCCAUCCGAUUUUGAUGUCCAUGGUAUGUGGUCCUCUCCUUCUCUGUCAUCAGCAUCUUCGAAUGCACACUUAAUGCCAAUAAUAAAACGUGCCACUAGAACAACUAGGGUAGCACACUAGAACAAAAAUGACUCUCUAAAACCCUGCAUUGGGCGAAAAAGGGGCCCAACUAAGCGUUAUGAAACAAACCCUUCCUCUGCCAAGAGAGGGCUCAACAUGGAUGUACCGUAUGGUCCUCCCAACCCCGUGAACCGAAUGACUUUCCCAAGGCCGACUCUCCCAAGGCCGACAUACCGCAUGGUCCUCCCAACGUCGUGUACCGAACGACUCUUCUCAGGUUGACCAACCACUAGGCCGACCAUUCAAGUCAACCAUCCAGUUCGACCGACCAUCCAGACCGAACAUCCAGGCCGAAAGGCUCUUCCCAGGCCAACCAACCAUCCAAUCCGAUCGUCCAGCUCGACCACAUGGUUAGAUUACAAACGAUAAUAGCACAUCAAAGCCCCUAAUGAAGGUUAAUGUGUGAUUGGGUCGUCAUUAGGCCGACGAAAGGUAAAGGCCCAUUACAACUAGUAUAAAUAAAGGUCUUAGGUAUGACUUAUGGACCACAAUGCAUAAUAUAUGCAUUACUUGUUGUGCUAAUCGCUCGGUUACAUUACUAACUUGAGCGUCAUAGUGCUUUUGACAGGUGCCCACCCCUACGGCUAGGAGAAGGAAGAGGGAGAGCGAACAAUACAACUUGGAGUACGAAGACGGCUAGGGAACCCGUUCGACCUUCAACGAACCCGUCCGGUCUUAUAGUCAACGAGUAAGGUCCAUCCGCCUUCAGGACAACCUAGAGUGCUUAGGUCCAUCCGGUCUUCAAGGUCCAUCUAGUCUUCAAGGUCCGUCCAAUCUACAAGGUCCAUCCAGUCUUCAUGGUCCAUCCGAUCUUAGAAGCAACAUGGAGUGUUUUGAACAAGAGACCUCCAAACCCUACCGCAACAUUUUGGCGCCCACCGUGGGGCCGAGCGGCAUCCCCUAUGAUCCCCUGUGAUCCCCUACAUAUUGAUCCGGAUUGUAGAAACUCUCACCAUCAGGUACUUUCUUAAACUUGGAUUCGAUUUCACGGCCAUCCAUGGCAACAUUCGUCCAACCUUACCUUAGGCCUCGACUUCAAGGUCGUCCAUGGCCUCAUUAGUCCGACCUUACCUUAGGCCUGGACUUCAAGGUCGUCCAUGGCCACAAUCAUCCGACCUUACCUUAGGCCACGACUUCAAGUUGUCCAUGGCCAUGGUCGUCUGGUCGUCCAUGGCCACAUUCGUCCGGUCUUACCUUAGGCCUCGACUUCAAGGUCGUCCAUGGCCACAAUCGCCCGACCUUACCUUAGGCCUCAGCUUCAAGGUCAUCCAUGGCCACAUUCGUCCGAUCUUACCUGAGGCCUCGAUUUCACGGUCGUCCAUGGCCACAUUCAUCCGGCCUUACCUUAGGCCUCGACUUCAAGGUCGUUUGUGGCCUCAUUCGUCCGGCCUUACCUUAGGCCUGGACUUCAAGACCGUUCAUGGCCACAGUCGUUCGUCCUUACUUUAGGCCACGACUUCAAGGCCGUCCAUGGCCACAAUCGUCCGGCCUUACCUUAGGCCUCGACUUCAAGGCUGUCCAUGGCCUCAUUCGUCCGACCUUACCUUAGGCCUCGAUUUCAUGGCCGUCCAUGGCCACAUUCGAACAACCUUACCUUAGAGCUCGGCUUCACGUUCGUCCAUGACCCAAGUCGUCCGACCUUACCUUAGGCGUUGACUCCAAUCGUUGGGCCUUACCUAGACCUCAACUUGAUGGUCUCCCAUGGCCGUAACCGUCCGACCUUAAUUGCUCGGUCGUCCAUGGCCUCACAAUUACAUAGCCAAAUUUGGGAUCAGUGUUAAAUCAUUCGAUCGUCUGACCUUUGUGGCUCGGUCGUCCAUGGCCUCACAAGUACAUAGCCAAAUUUGGCAUCAGUGUUAAGUCAUUCGGUCGUCCGACCUUUGUUGCU
rnacentral:lncRNA from 1 species